UUUUUUUUUUUUCUUUGAGUUUGGGUCACUUGUAAAAUCUUAUAGUCAAAACAUUUUAUUUUUAUUUUUUUUUGGAAAAAGAAAAGACAAAAACGUAUUUUGUUACGAUAGUGGUUCGUUUGAUGCAGGCAAAUCGAGUCAUGGAGGUGUAAAGAGUAAAGACAUUUGCUAUAAUUGUUGGAUCAUUAGCUGGAGUGGCUAUACUUAUUAUUUGUCUUGCUUUCAUGAGCAAGAUUUGUGGGUGACAUGGUAAGUUGUAUACUAUAUAUGUACAAUUUUUUCUAUUUGUGUUCCUAUCUAUUUUAAUUUGAUUUAUUAUAUUGAGAAAAGAAAACAUGGAUUCAUAGCAAUAUACUAACAUAACUCCUUUUUAUUAUAUCUUUCUCGUGCAGGUAAAUAAAUUAAAUUAGAUUUGAAACUCAGAACGGCAAUAGGCCAAUAGCACUUAACAAUUCUCACUUGUUGCCUUCCUAAUCUCGUGUUUGGUUUGCUUUUCUAUCUCUCUUGCUUCCUUUUUCCCUCCUUUUUUUCUUUAUUUUACUUUCACCUAUUAUGUUUCAAUUUUAAAAUUUGAUAAUUAUCCUUAAAAACGUUAUUUUAAUCACCACUUUGUGGAGAAUUAUGUCAAUAUUUCAUUAUAUUUAAGUUUGUUUGACCUUGUUUAUAAUUAAGUUUUGAAUAAAUUAGAAUAGCUUUAGAAUAGUUUAAAGGUUUGAUUUUUCAUCUAAUUUUAGUUUAUUUUAUUGUAAAAAUAAAUGAAGAAAGAAGAGAGCUCCGAUUGGGAUUCAAUUCAAGGCUUUUUCAAAGAAAAUUUUUGAGACUAAAGGGGUCAGUGUUAGGAUUUUAUUUCAUAUUAGAUUUAACUUAUAAGUCAAGUGUAAUCCAAUCAUAUGUAGUAACUAAACUAUCAUCCAGAUCGUCUCUCAAAGGAAUAAAGGAGGAAUUUCAUAUGAUUAUUUAACUAAGAACUAGGUUUUGUAUUUUUGUUUUGUGAUUGUCAUGAAAUAAAUAGCAAAAAAUUAUAAUAAAAAUUAAAUGAUAAUAAAAUAAUUAAGUAAAGAUAGAAAUACUAGAUUUAUAUGUUGAUGUCAAUCUUGAUGAAUGAAUGUUUAGGUUUAGACUUUAAAUUCGCUUGAUCCACUAUAACUUCACAAUUAUCUGCUCAUCCUCAAUUCACUGAUGUAUUCUACUUUAGCUCUCACUUGGUCACAGAUUCUAACUUACUUUUCCAAUAUCCAAUUCCUUGGAUAUACUGAUACAAGCAAUUAACAUUAAUGGUCGUGAAUUAGUGAGACUUAACCAAGAUUUUUCUAUUCCUUGAAAUUAUUACAAUUAAAUACUUGACUCAUAUUCGAGUUCCAACAAAGCUCACCAAAGCCCAAGUCAAUUUUUUAAUUCAUCUAUAAGAUGAUCCAUCAAAUAAAAGCAUUAAGUAUGAAAACAAAUAAAGAACUCAAGAUGAAGUAUUGAAUUGAGAAUUAAAACAAAACAAGGUUUAUCCUUUCAUCUCCUAGGUGGAAGGAAUUGUACUCAUAAAAUAAUACAAUAAAACUUAAAGUGUCUAAUAGAAUAAUGUAGGCGUUUAAUAGGUAGAGAUCUAAAAUAUAAUUUUAAGAAUUGUUUAGGACUUCAAUAUUGUUACAUUGAAUGUCUAGUCUCCUAUUUAUAUAAUUGUAGUUAAGUUUAAUUAAGGAGAUAAUCACAAAAAAUUACAAACAAAUAAUAUCUCUAAUUAAUUCAAGUAAUUAUCUUCUUUUUUUAAGUUGAUUUAUUCUUGAAAAAUAUAUAUUUUUUAUUUUCUUAGCUUUUAUCAUUAAUUUUCAUAAUUUCUUCUUCUAAAACUGUUAAUUUUAAACUUUUGAAGCUCGGGUCAGAAUGACAUGUUUUUUUCCCAAAAAAAUCAAAAUUUCAUUAAAAAUAAUUAAAAGAUAAUAUGGCUGGUCAUGACUGAUGACUAUAUAUAGCAAGUAGGGAUUAGAAUUAUAAACCAAGACAAAACUAAUAAUAACAUGCAUUAAUUUAGAAACCCAUCUCUUUCGGCGUGCCAGAAUUGGGGUUAGCACCCACCUUGCUCCUCUCUCCUCACUCCUAAUGCUGGCAUAAAAAACCAUAUAUAUAUAAUAGAAAGAAAUUAAGGAAAUAAAGUCAAUAUCAGUAUAGGUUUUGUUCUUUAGUUAAAGCAAGAGCCACAGAUCAAUUGCAUGCAUUAACUUCAAAUUCAAAUUAUUAUGAUUCUUAUAAUUAAUUUUGUUUGUCUUUGAAAUUACACCAAAUUAAUUAAUAGCUGAUCAACAUUAUAUAUAAUAUAUUUGUCUUUGAUAUAUAGUAUACUUCGAGUAGGGUACCUAUUAAUUUAUAUUUGUCUUUGAUAAAUAGUUGAUCACCACUUGCAAUAUUGUAAUUUAUAGAGUGCAACAUGACGAAAAAAAUAGUCAAAUUCUCUUGUGAUUUAGUCUCAGAACUGUAAAAUUUUCCGCCACUACUAUCCUAUGGUGAAAUACAUACUUUCUGCUAGCUAUAUUAAUAAUCCUUGUACACCUAUUAAAGACGAUAUAUUAUUAACCGAUGCAACAUAAUUCAUGUAAUUGAUGAACUAUUAAUUCUAGGCUUUGCUAAAGUUAGGAUGAGAAUUGAGGGCGGUUGUGCGAUGUCACAGUUGUCCUUGAGUGUCUUCAAUCGAAAAAUUUGAGAUGGUGUUGUGUGUGUGUGUGUCAAAGGAAAGUGUCGUAGUCCUUUCCUUUAUCAGCGUGAACUUUACUUAGCAAUUAAUCCAUAGAGGCAUAGAAUAAUAAUAUAUUCAGAAAUCAUUGGUAUACUUUCACCAAGUUUGAUAAUGAGCACAUAUAUAUCUAACGCCAAUAUUACACAAUUAAGUCCGUGGGCUUUGGCCAAUGUUGCCUUUCCACACAUGCAUCAUGCAUAGACUAUAUAUGCUUUAGGAAGAUGAUAGAAGCAAGUGUGUAUAUAUAUAUAUAUAUAUAUAUAUAUAUAUAUAUAUGAAACAAUAAAAAUAAAUUUAAACAUCAUUUUAAGAUAGUUUAAAGUUUUAACUUAGAACGAGUCAUGCCAUCUCAAAAACAAAUGGGCUUGUUUUAUUACGUGGAAAGUGAUCACUUUAAAGUAGCUAGUCCAUUCCCGAAAUAAAAUGCAAAGAAUUGAUCUGUUGCUAAAUGAUUGCACGAUUGAGCUGCCACAAAGUAGUAGAAUAUAUAUAUUUCUGCAAAAUUUAUUUGAAAAUCAGUGCUUCAAACCAGUGCUAAAUUUAUUUGCACCUAUAUGAAUUGAUGUUAAUUAACGUAUGAUUCCAAAUUCGAAGAGGUUUCAAACAACUCAAUUCAAUUAGAGAGAAAUUUCUUAUACUUUUGUACCAUUUCAAGUGUGUAUUACUGACUAACGAGUAGCUUAGACUGUCGCUCUCUCCAACUUAAUCAGAUAUUCAGUGCUUACCGUGCAAUUUUUCCCUCUCUGAUAAGAUCUAACAAUCUUCAAUUCCUUCGAUUAAGUUAACUUCUCCAACAUUUAAAAUUAGAAUAUAAUCAACAAUAAAUUUCUCAGUGGUUUAUAAUUGCAAGAAUUUUAAAUUCAUUUUUUUAAAGAAAGAAACUAAAGUUGCUACUUUGUUUGAAUUAUAUCAACCAAAAAGAAAAGCAACCAAACUAAGCUAAAAAAAAGAGUUCACACCGACUCUAAAAUAAUCGAAGAGAAGCUUUUUUUUUUCGUUAUUAUGUAGAUUUUGCUUAUUUAAAGCAACUCAAUGUGGUGGAUCUCGUUCCAUAGUUCAAAACCUUCGUUCAAUUCAAGCAAAUAAUAGCACCCAAAAAAAAAAACACUCACAAUUUCACAUGCAUAUAAAAGUGCUGCCCUAGACACUCAAAACCCUACGUACGUCAACAUCUGGGAAAAAUAAAAAUGGCGAAAAGGAGCAAUAUCUCACACACACUAUUGAGUAGUAUGUAUGUUUUUUUGUGCGUGGUUGGGUUUUCGGAGUGUUCGAGCAUAAGCACGUUCCUCUACAGCGGGUGCACGCAGCAACGGUACACUCCCAACUCGCCCUACGAGUGGAAUAUCAACUCGUUACUCACCUCGCUGGUGAACUCGGCGACGUACUCUGCUUAUAACAACUUCACGGUCGUGGGGUCCACUCAGCAGGACGCGGUGUACGGGCUCUACCAGUGCCGCGGCGACCUCGCCAUGCCGGACUGCGCCGCCUGCGUGGCCCGAGCCGUCACGCGCGCCGGCGACAUCUGCCGCGGCACGUGCGGCGGCGCGGUGCAGCUCGACGGCUGCUUCGUGAAGUACGACAACGCCACGUUCCUCGGCGCGGCGGACAAGACGGUGGUGCUGAAGAAGUGCGGGCCGUCGGUCGGGUACAACCCCGACGCCAUGGGGAGCCGCGACGCCGUGCUCGCCGGACUCGCCGCCGCCGGUGGGAACUUUCGCGUCGGUGGGUCCGGUGGGGUACACGGCGUGGCGCAGUGCACCGGCGACCUGAGCUACGGGGAGUGCCAGGACUGCGUGGCGGAGGCGAUCUCGCGCCUGAAGAGCGAUUGCGGCACAGCGGAUUACGGUGACAUGUUUCUCGGGAAGUGUUACGCGAGGUACUCCGUUGGUGGGGCCCACGAUGAGUCCAAGGCCCACGGUAAGGCCCAUCAUCAUGAUCAUCGCAUGCUUCCUCUUCUCUUACUACCUCUCAUGGGUUUCAGGUUUUAAACUCCAAACAAUAAUAAGCUUGUAGAUUGGAAAGGAUGUAAAAAAAUGGAAAUUGUAAUUUUCUUUGUGAAAUUGUAAGAAUUAAAGCUUUAAUAAAGGUUUAAUUGCUUCAUGAUUUUAAUUUGGUUGCGGUGAGAAAAAAAUCUUCACACAUUAUAGUCAAUUACGAAAGAAUACAACUAAUGUAAUAAAAAAAAAACAUGUAAUUGUAGAGUGUCAAAAUAAUUUAAUCUUGCGCACUGUAAUUUAAAACUAUGAAUUACUUCUAUAUUUUAAUUCUCACAUAAUCACUUUAACUAAUUUUAGUUUUCUUACAUAAUACUUUAAUUCAUUUUAGUCCUUUCAAUUUUAUAUGAUGGGAACUAAAAUAAAUUAAAUAAUGUAUACAUAAAGACUAAAAUUAUAAAUUUUUGGUGUAAGGAUUAAAAUAUAAAAAUUGUGCAAAUAUAGAAAAUAAAUGAGUAAUUAAACUUUUAAAAGUUGUUUUCUUUUGGAUAAGUAAAUUGAGAGCUUUGUUUAUUUACUUAUAGUAGUCGACCUUCAUGUAUAAACAAGACUAUGGUUCGUUGCUUUUGCUUUGAGUUUGGCUGUUUGGGUCACUUGAAAACAUAUAUUUUUGUUACAAAAAGAAAGAAAAUAACUUGUUUUAAUUUUCUGUAAUGGUGGCUCGUGUGUUGCAGACAAAUCGAAUCAUGGAGGUGUAAAGACAUUUUCUAUAAUUAUUGGAUCAUUAGCGGGAGUGGCCAUACUUAUUAUUUUCUUUGCUUUCAUGAGCAAGAUUUGUGGGCGACAGGGUAAGUAGUAUAUAUGUACUUUUUUUUUCCGUUUUUCAUAUAUUUUAAUUUGGUUUAUUGUAUUGAGAAAAGAAAAGAAAAUGAUUCAACAAAUAUUCUAACAUGAUUCCUUCUUUUUUAUUGUAUCUUUCCCAUGCAGGUAAAUAAAUUAAAUUAAGCUUGAGAUUCAAAGUGGCAUGAGCACAUGUCGAUCAGUUUUCACUAGUUGCCCUCCCAAUCUCCUGUAUUGGUUUGCUUUUGUGCCUCUUUUACUUUUUUCUUUUAUUUUUCUUUCUUUAUUUUACUUACUCUUUUUUUGUUUCAAAUUUAAAAUUCAAUUCGAAAGAGAACUUUGAACCUUGAGGAGGAUACCAUAUGAAAAAAAAGAAUGUACAAUGAACAUUUGUAUUUGAAAUUUUGAAUAAAAGUUUGUGCUGUCUAAUGUCUCAUUCUUGUAAAGAAAAAAAGUGAAUAUAUUAUUCUUUUGUUUCUUUAAAGUUGUAUAAUAUUUUUGCUUUGCUUUUCAACCUUAUGUGCGCCCACGAACUUUUUGGACGGUUACUUAAAAUUUGUACAAGAUUAACUAAUCGGUUUAAUGGUACAUUAAAACAUUGCAUGAAUGAUUUAACAAGAUUUGAUUAUUGUACAAACACACUUGAACCACAACUAAGUUAAGGAAAACUUACUCUACCACGAAGAAGUUUAUACUCUACCUCUUUGACCUAAAAUAAUACUACAAUACUAGUCAAACCAAGGAUCAUUUUGCAGAUCUUUAGUGUUUGUUUAGCUUGUCAAUGACCUCAUAUACUGCAGCAAAGCUCUCUAUCUUAAAUGAUUCCAGUCCUAAGAAUUUUUUUAAAAAAUGACAAUAUUCUUUUUUAAAACUCACAAGUCACAAUUAGCUCAUGUACCUCACUUUGAGAUAUCGGAACACUGUCUCUAUCAAUAAUGUACCUGUGUUUGUUAUCCGUGAAUGAAAGGAACAAAAGUGUAACAUGGGGAAUGGAAUUAUGGAAACUUCCCAUAACUUGAAAGAGCUAUAUAUUAUUUCAUGGAUACCGUGUUUCGGUUUUGGAUUGAAAAUCUUCAUAUCAUAAUUUAGAUUAAAGUUACAUGGAAUAAUCUAGCUUUUAUCUAAUAUUUAAAAGAUUUGAAACUGAAAGUUAAGCAUAUACUAAAAGUCUAAAACACAGUCAAGAACUGAAAAGUGAUUGUCAAAAUGAAAAUUAAAAGGAGACUUGAAUUAUGAACCACAUUAUUUUAUCUUAUAUAUACUGUAUAAUAAUAAAACCAUUUUUUUUUUGUAUUUGUGUUUCUUUUUUACGAAUUGCAAGCCCAAUAACUUGUCCUAUAUUUCCAGCGCCAGACUCUAAGUCAUAUAUCACAGAGAGUUCCUAUUGGCCCUUUCAAGUUUUGUUAUUGACCCCUACACCAGCUUGAAAAGUUCCUUCUGUCCCCAUUUCAAAUUCUUUACCCCCUCCCUGUCCCUGGCACCCCUUCCCCUUCUCCUUUAUCCUUUAUCCUUCCUCCUUCCCCUUUCUUCCUUCUCCUUCUAGUUCUGCUUCUCCUUACCCAAGUCCAACCCAAAUGAACCCUUACCUUCCCCUUUGUUUUGUUAUAUUUUUUUUAUAGUUUUUUUAUUCAACGGAAUCACAAUUUUGUUUUUUUUAAUAUCACAACGGAAUCACAAUUUUAUUGUUUAAUUUUUUUUAACUCAAAAAAAUUGUGAUUUCAUUGUAUUGUGGAAACAUAUAAUAACUGAAUCAUGAUUUCAUUGUAUUAAAGGAGUGCUAAAAAAAAUAACAAUGGAAUGUGAUUUCAUUGUUACGUUUGUGCUGACAUAAAAAAUAUACUUGUGAUUUCGUUAUGUUUGAGGGGUGGGAGAGAAAUGGUUGAACAAUAGAAUCUUGAUUCUGUUAUACAUUUUAUUCAACGAAUUAUGAUUUGGGGGAAAAGACAUUUUUGGAAUAAAAAAGGGAUCAGGGGCCAAAAGCAAUUUGAAUGGGGCCAGUAGCAACUUCUUACUACAUUACUAAGCCCAAAUAAUUGGGCUCCAAUUGGAAAACCCAGUUGCAGCGUACUUCCUAUUUCGCUUUUUAGUAAAAGAACCCAAAACCAUAACAGCAGAUAAUUGUUAAUUGAUGACGAACAUAGGAUCAAUCAAAGAACAUUCUGGAGUGUCCGCGACCACUAACACAAAAUACAUAUUAUAAUUUCAUUGUUCAUCACAAAAAUUGAAAGCACCAUAUCAUUAGACAACGUGUUUUUCUACUAGAGAUCUCUUUUCUCUAGCUAGUGUAAUAUCAUUAAUCAAUGGCUGGCACUAUCUUUGGAUACCCUUUCAGACACUUCAUCUGGGGUCACCCACCAAUUUUCAAAGAAUGGUCCGGCUCAACAGCCCUCUUAGAUUGGCUCGAAUCACCCACUGCCCACAUCUUAAAAAUUAACGUUCCAGGUAACAUGUUAAUAUUUGUAUAAAAAAGAACUGAAGAGUUAUUUAUGUGCUUUUGAUGUUAUUUUUUAAUCUGAGAGAAGAUGUAGCUCAUUUGAUUGAACAAAGAGUAUUAGUUGUUGUUGUAAAUCAUCUGGUACCGGUCUUCAAUUAUGAAUUUUUUUUUUCAAAGUUUUAAUUACUUUGAUUUGAUAAUCUAUGUUAAUAUUUAAUGUAAAUUUUUGUUACACAUGUUAUAGAAGUGAAACUCCAAUUCUAAUAAGGAGAAUAAUAGUAAAAUUUUGCCUAGAAUUACAUCUAAAAUGUGUCCUUUAUUUAUCACACUCUUUCACCCUUUCUUCACUUUUGAUGACCCGUUAGAAUGUUGAGUGGUGAUUCUGUGUAUGAUGGUGAAAAUGAAAUCUUUUUGUGGGUUUGACUUGAUUAGUGGAGUGGUUGAAUGAUUAUAAUUGAGUUUUGGAUGAUGGGUAUUUGUGUGGAUAGGAUUCAGCAAGGAAGACAUAAAGGUGCAGAUUGAGGAUGGGAAUAUUCUUCACAUCAAAGGGGAAGUUUGGAGAGAGGAGCCUCAAGCAAAGGAGAAGGAUACUGUUUGGCAUGUGGCUGAGAGAGGCACUGGGAAGGGAGGGUUCUCAAGGGAAAUUGAAUUGCCAGAGAAUGUGAAGGUGGAUCAGAUUAAGGCACAGGUGGAGAAUGGAGUCCUCACUAUAGUUGUGCCUAAAGAUGCAACACCCAAAACGCCUAAAGUGAGAAACAUUAACAUCACUAGCAGGCUUUAAGGUUUUGAAAUCUAGAAUAUGUUUCUAUGAAUAAUAAUUGAGAACAAGAAAAAAAAAAUGUGUUAAUGAUGUACUAAGGAAUAAGACAAUAUCGGUUCUUUUGUAUGUGUGUGUGUGUAUAGUGUCCCCUCUUUGAUUGAUAUGAACCUUGUGUAAAUUUCAUGUUACUUUGUUGAAACCUUGCUAAAUAAACCAAGAGCUUGCACUAGUCUAAAAGAUCCGAUUCCUCCCACCUUGAUCCGUCUGGAAACAUAAUUUGGUAUGGAAAAAAACCAGAUAUUAGAAAUGAGGCAUACUCUAUCCAACUAUCCAUCUAAUCAGUCAUCAAUAGUGUGAAUAUUAUAUUGGAGCUGUGUAAUUGGUAGCAAGUUACCAACUAGAUUUCAGAGGAACGUGAGGUGUGUGAAUAAUAGUAGAUAGAAAAUUAGUUUUAAGAGCCUGUUUGAUUUUCAGUCCAACUUGUAGUGUACAAAUUUCGAAUCAAAAUUCAAUAGUCCAUCACAAAUUGAACGCAAAAGGAAGGUUGUGAAUGUUUUGAUUAUUCAAGCAUGCACUAAGUCUCUGGCCUAUAGAUUUGAUUAUCAGUUGAGCUGAUACUGUGGGGGACUGGGGAGUACUGAUUUGGGCCUUUAAAAAAUCUUUUAUCAAUUUCUAUUUGCAAGCAUAAGUAGCACCAAAACUAAAAAUUAUGUUAUAUUAUUCUGACUUCUUAAUUUUAGACUCUAGAACUUUCAAAAAUCUUAUAUUUAUUGAUCAUUUUAUUUUUACAUACAAUUGCUUCGAUCGAUCAUAUUUUAGAGCUGUUAAGCCAUUUUUGUUACUGCCUAUAAGAGUAACUUUAAAGGCAAUUACAAAAACUAUUUUACUGUCAAACAACGAUACCUUAACAAAUUGUAUCAAUAGAAAUUAUUUAUUAUUAGGAAUUUAUAUGUAAGCAACAAUUUUUUAUAUAACUCUUUUUAUAUUUUAUAUUCAUAUAAGUGAGAAUGAUUUAUUUAGUUAGAAAACUUUAAUUUUUAUUAUGUAAAAUUUUCUUGAACAAACAGUAGUAUAAAAAAUAAGAUUAGUCUUUAGACGAGUGGAUUGAACAUCUAUGAUUUAUGAUUUUAAAAAAAAUAUAAUCCUCCUGACUUAUUAAGUGAAAAAAGUGGACUCACAUUGUAUAGUUAUUGAACUAAAAUGAGUUGCAGAAAUAAUUAAAUAGAGUUGUUACCUAUGCCAUUAGCAAGAUGAUCACCCCAAUCAAUCGCCUUGGGCCUUGUUCUGGCUGGGUUUUUUAAAAUGGACGAUGGGCCACAUUCUUUUUAUUAAAUGAAUAUGAAUAUUGUUUGCGGUGAAACGAAAAAGUAUCUAAGAUGGCUUAUCACUAGCAUCUUCCAAUCAGUGUUAUUAACAUCCUCUAAUCAUUGCAUGUCACUGUUGCCACCUACAUGCUUUUGUCACAUUGUUACUAAUAGUCUUUUGAGAUAUCUUUUAUUUAGUGGAUUUCUUUAAAGCUGACUUUGAUUUAGAAAAGAGAAAUAUAAUAAAUGAAAACAAAAGAAAUAAUUUGAAAAAAGAGAAAUAGAAUAUAAAUAAAGUAAUAUGUUUAUUGUUUGAUUUAAAAUAAAUAUGUGAGAAAUAGAAUAGAAAUAAUUUUUUUGUGAAUAGAAUAGAAUUUUUUUUUUUGUAAAGUUACUUUGUAUGGAUAAAAUAAAAAAUUUCAGGGUGUGUUUAGUUUGUAUUUUUAUUUUCUGAAAACUGUUUUCAUUUUUAAAAAAUAUGAAUUCUAAAAACAUAUUUGGUUUGACUUCUUGUUUUCUGUUUUCAAGAACUAAAAACACUAAAAAUGUGUUUUCAAAAGAAAAUGUAUUUUUAAAUUUGCUUAAAAUUGCAUUCCUUGCCACCGGAUUUUCAUUUUACCCAAAAUGAGGUUUCUAAUUUUAACUGAAAAUACUGAAAAUGAGAUUUUAUUGUUUUCAGUUUUUGAUUCAUUUGGGAAAAUAUUUUCACUGAAAAUGUUUUCAAAAAUCCAACUAAACGCAUUUUCAUCACCAUUUUCUAUUUCAGUGAAAAUGAAAACAGAAAACAAUCAAACCAAACACCUCCUAAUGUUUUCUGCACCUACAAACUAGUAACUUAUUUCUGCAUAAAAUCAUCCACACCAAAUUUUGAGACAACAUUUGUGUUUUAUUUUUUCCUCAUCAUGAUAUUAAUACGAAAUAAUUUUGUGAAAAGUGAUAAUUAAUUUUUGUUGGGGACUAUAAGCACAUAUUAGGUGAAUAUUUCUUUUCCAAUAUGAUUUAUUUCAUACUAAGGGAUCAAUCAAGAUUCAAAUCUUGAAUCACUCGAUUAAAAGAUCCAAGUUGCUACCACUUAUGUCAAUCAUUAUUGAUAAAUAAUAUUUCUGUUUGUAUUUUUUAUUUGUUCAACCAAAUAGAGCAUAAGGCUAAAAAACAAAUAGAGAGCCAAAUCCAACUCAAUUUUACAAGAAUAAAUUUGCUUUGAAACUAGGCUCAAGUUUAAUAAAUUUUAGUGGGUUUUUUUUUUAUCAUAAUGGGUCAUUUUUGCUAACUAAAUAUCAUUUUAAGUUGGUCUCUAAUGUACUACCUUUCGUUCUAUAUACAAGAAACAUAGGGCAAAUCAUCAAGACUAAGAAAAGUGGUAGUUACAUUUAAUACUAUCAUAAAUUUAAAUUUUGUUCUAAAAGUGUCAUUAAGUUUAAAUAUUGUAAGUGAUGAUCUCAUUUAAUGUUAAUACUCAUAAUCCAAUGAGUGAAUGCCUAAUAAAUAGAGUUAACAAUGAAUUAAGGGUAUAAAAGAAAUUUAACCCUUGAUAAGUUUGAAAACUAGUUAGUGUUUCUUAUAAUUAGGACCAAAGAAAAAGUUAAUUUGUUGCUUAUAUAUAGGACAUGAGGUAGUAUUUAUAGAGUGGGUGAUUCAAGCUACAUAGGAUUUCGAUAACCCUAGUUACACAUGGGUGGUGUCACUUUGCAAAGUGUUACCUGUUCAGGUGGCUUCAUCCAGUCAGACAUAUUUUUUCAAAAUAGUAUAGUCUUUCUAACUUGGAGGUGUUACCCUGCAUGGCUUCACACAAGUUUAAUAGAAAUAUAUUUUGGGCAUUUUUGGACUAUGUAGAAAAAAUAUAUUUAUAUACAAUUUUAAUGUUGUGAUUUGUAGAAAAAAAUAUAGUAGUAUAUAAAUUUAAUGUUGUAUAAAAAAUGUUUUAUUUAAUAAUUUAAUAGAAAAUAGUAUAGUUGAUGAAUAAAGUUUAAUAGAAAACUAUUUUGGGCAUUUUUUAGUUUUGUAGGGAAAAUGGUUUUAAUUAAAAAAUUUAAUAGGUAAAAUAAUUUUAUAAUAAUAUUUAAUAGAAAUAUUAUUAAAUAAGAACUACAUGAAGCCAAGCAUCACCUAUGUGAAACUAUGUAGGGUGGUGUCACCAAUUCAGAAAGGUUGUGCUAUCUUAAAAAGAAACAUGUUUGACUAGGUGAAGCCAUAUAGGGUGAUACCACCAAAUCACUAAGUCACCUAAACUAGUGACAUUUUGUAGAGUGACGUCAAGUAGAGAAGAGUUGACCCAUGUCACCAAAAUCCUAUGUGACUCGAAUCAUCCAUGUUUGAUAAAUACUUUUUUAAAAUGUUAUAAUAAAAGUGCAUUAUAAAAUAUUAAUAUGUAUUAUUAACAUUUUUCUUCAUUCAACACUUUUUUCAGCACUAUUAUUGUUUUUUAUUUUUUCAUAUUUUAUAUUUCUCUAUUUUUUCUUCCUUGUAUAAUUUUUUGGGCAAUUUUUAUGCAAAAAAUUCUAAUAAAAUAUUCAAAUAAUAGGAUUUCAAAUUGGUUAAAAUUCACCCUAAAUAUUUACUUAAUCCAAAUAAAAAAAUGGACAAAGAGAAAAUAGUAUUUAUAUCUUUUGGUUGUUUUAUGACUUAAAUUUGUUUAAGAUUUCUUAUAAAUAACUAAAUUUUGUUAUAGGCCUUUAAUAAAUUUUUAUUGUUUUAUAUUUCAAUAUUAAAAAUUUUGUUGAAUCAAUAUCAUCAAUUAAAUGAUAACGUGAUUUAAAUUUAUGUAUGGAUAAAGAGAUUAUAUCAUUGUUGUGAUUCUACAUAUAUACAUGUUGUCAUGUCCAUUAAAUACUAAUUGAAGGUUAUUGCCUUUGAUUCCAAAUUGGAUAAUCAUUUGACAUGCAAAGCCUACAACUUAUAUGACAUUAAAUGGUUUUAAUCUACUUUUUCUUUUCAACACGAGAAAACAAUUUAUAGAUAAGUAUAUGAUAAAUAUACUUAUUCAAUAAAUACUUAAUUAAGUUGUUUAUGCAAACUAACUCUUAUCUCUAUUUUAUGUUAACUACUGCAGAAAAUGGUUUGGUCUCCUCGAUCACAAUGAUUUUCCUAUAGUAACCCAACUCCACAAUCCAUAUAUCCAGUUAAAAUAGAUUUUCUAUAUUUACGCAUUCAUAAAUCAAAUUUGUUGGAUGAAAAUCAAAGAGUUCAUAUACUUCAAAUAUAUAUUAGUAAUUAAGUUAAAAUUGCUGAGAUGAAAUAUAUGAACCGUUUAAUUUGAUUCAGCCAACAAUUUUUAUUAGCUGAAUCUGUGAAUGUAAGAAAUCCUAAUGGUAGAGUCCUGGUGAGUAAUUUCUAGCCAAUAUUAAAGGUGUCAUUACCUGGUUAAGAAAACUAAUCAAUGCAUGCAGUGGGUAUCAGGCUGAAUAAAAAGGAACGAUGUGGAAAGAGUUAUUCCCCGGAGUUAAUAAAUAAAGCGUGUAAUGAAAUAGUAGUAUAUACUAUAUAUUGUUUGAAGUAACUUCAUCAAAUCAAACAACUAAUUAAGAUUUCUUGGUCCAUAAGAAUCGGUAUAUGUAAAGGCCAAAAAUCAAAAGAUUGUGAUUAAGAAUGGGGUGGUUCAUAUACAUUAUAUUUUUCUUCAUUAUACCUUGUGAUUAUAACAUGUACAUGCUUAUAAGAGGACAAGGCAAUGCUUACACGGAAACAGAAAUAAAGGGUUAUGUUUAUGUAAUGUCCAAAAUGAAGAACAAACAGAAAGCACUAAUCAGCAUCCACAUAUGUCAAAAAGUAUUAAUUAAUAGACAUGAGCAAAAUUAGUUUAUUUCUGUAACCAAAGAAGAAAUUAAUUUUCUUUCUCUUUCAUAUUCAAUUCUUUUCCUCCAACAAUAAAAUAAACGUCCAACAGGGUGCAGAAUUGCAGAUUAACCUUGCAAUUCAAUGCGCAUGUCCUUUCCUAUCCAACUAAAAGGUCCCUCGUGGGCUCCACCGAGGCAAAGUCAAGAUAUAUUUGUGUAAGGAGGUAGUAACAUUGUAGACUUAAUUAAAAUAAAGUCUUAUAAUAUAAAAUUUUUAUUAUUAUUAAUUGAUUAUAUUAUUUUUUAUGAUACAAUUAUUGACUUUCAUAAUAAUUGUUUAAUAUAAAAAUAUUAUGUACAACAUGAUAAUUGAUAAAAUAGAAAAGGGUGAAUAUCUAAUUUUUUCUCCAAAAAUGUAUAGUAAUCAAUUGAUUCUUGAAAGAUGAAAAAUAUAAAUUUAAUUUUUUAAUAUAUAAAAAAUAUGUUAAAUUAGUUUUAUCGUUAAAUUUAUAAAAUUAUUUUAUCAUUAAGUUAUAAUGAUAAGAAUUAAUUCGAUGAUAAGUUGUAAAAUUUAAAGAUUAAUUUGUUAUUAAAUUAUUUGUAGGAUUAAUUUAUUAUAUUUUUUUAUAUUCAGAAAUUAAAUUUAUAUUUUUUUUUAUAAACUAAUUUGUUACUACAUCAUAUUUUCAAAGAUAAACAAUGAAAGAUUUUAAACUCGGGACUAAUGAGACAAUUUAUUUAUAAAAAAAAAUCUAAUAAUAUAAAAGAGUGAGAAAAAAGAAAUAAUAAGUUCAAACACAUAAAAAUAGGAGGUGUAAAUAUAAAUUUUUAAGAUUAAUAUUUCUAAUUUUAUUAAAAUAAAGACAUACAUUUUUUAUCCUCGUUUCUAAAAAAUAAUUAAGGAGAUUCGACCAUAAAAUUAGGAGAUGCAAAAUAGUAAUACAAAAUUUAAAAAUAAAUACAUGUAAUUUUAUUAAAAUAAGAAAAUACAUUUACUCAUCCUCAAAUACAUAUAGUGCUGCCUCCGGAGAUAAAUUUGAUAAUUUAUCCAUAAAAAAAAAAAAAAAAACUUUUACGUGUUGGCAGGAGGAGAGGUAUUAUAAGUUAUAACGUUUAAGUUAGGGAAAGGCUUAUGUACUAACACUGAUAUGCUAUGAAAUGGCCCCAGUUGGCUGUUGUUAAAACGACAGGAACAUGGAGCCAACAUGUUACCUUUUUGUUAUUUGCCUUAACCAAUGUUUUAUCAACACGUGUUAUUCUCCAAAUUCCAAAUUCACCACCCAAUCACUUGUAACAGGCAUUAUGCCUAAUUGGUCCGUCGCACCGAAAAAGUAGGAAGUCAUAUUAUAUUGAAAGGAGUUGUCUAAUCUAUUUCAAAUAAAAAUGAAGUUAAACAAGUUCACAUAACAGUGAAUUUUUUUUUAUGUAUUAUAAAAGGAUUGGUUGUGGAUAUUAAUUAUGCUAAUUAAAUGUAAUGAGAUUUUUAAUUUUAUUUGAAGUAAAUUAAACAAUAAGUAAAACUUACUCAUAUCUAUUUUAAGUAAAGUCUUAAAUUUAAAUUUUAAGGAAAGAAAAUCCAUUUAAGAUGAUCGUUGAUAAAAUUAAUAAAUAUAAAUAUUAUGUACUGACUCAAAAAAUAACUUAUAUUAAUAAUAGUAAUAACUAAUGAGUUCGGUUCGGUACAUACUUAACAUAUAAAACUUUUUUGCAAAAUUAAUCACUUAUUAAAAUUAAAAUUAAAUUUUUUUAAUAUUAUAACUGUCAUUAGUAUAUUUUUAAUAAAACUUUUUGUCUGUUAAUUUUUUAAAUUUUCCUAACACUAAUUAGGAAGACGAACUAUUUUCCCACUCAAUAGCAACCAGUUUCGGCUAGUGGCUAACUGCUAACGCCUAACACCACACCGGCUUGAUACGACCCUACUCCGGAAAAAAGUGUUGUCAUCAUGAUAUUAUAAGUAUUUGACCAAUUGAAAUUGUUGUUAUUUUUAAUUUUUGAUAAUGUAUGGAUUAUCACUGUUGUAUGUAAAUAUUAAAUACUAAACUAAAACUGAAUUAUUUUUUUUAUUAUUUAUAAGACUCAAAUUUAAAAUGAUAUUUUUUAUAAGACUUAAUUUAUAAAAAUUUUGUAUUAAUAAUUUUUAUAUUAAAAAUAUCUCUAAUUUAAAAAAUAAAGAUAAAGAUAACAUAUUGACAAAAAAUUAAAAAAAAACAUUAAUUACAAGAAUAAUUUAAAAAAGAAAAAUUUAUUAUUAUCAAUUAAAUUAAUUAUUUUUUUAAAUCUUAAUAAAUUGAGUAAUAGAUUCUUAUAUAUAAGAAUACGAAGUAUCUGCUAUUUAAUAAUAAUUUUUUUUUUUGUGAGUUACAUAAGCCUAUUAAACUAUUUAUAAGUCUUCUGACUUGGACAACAGUUGCAUGAAUAGGGGGAUUUGAUUGAGAGGAAAAAAAAGUUUAGUCUCUGUCUAUUUAUAUCCUUCAUGACCAUUUCUGGCCAUCUUUUUUUGUUGCUUUUGGGAAUAGUCAAAUAUUAUCUCAUUAUUAUUAAUUCUUUUCAAAGAAAUAACUUACCUCUUACUUGAUAUGCAUUUGGAGCAUCCUUAAAGACAAUGAAAUAUUGAAUUUAAAAGCUUUUUUUGGAUGUUAUUAUAUAUAUAAAAACUUCAGAAGAUUUUUUUCCUCGUAUGUAUAUAUAACAAUUCUUCCCUAUAUUUUUUUCUUAUACAAGCAUGAUCUUAACUUCUCGAUUUCUCUAAAUAUCUAAUAUAAAAAGAAUCAAAUUAUUCCUAGAGUAACUCUAAGAAAAUUACUCCUUAUCAUCAUCAUUAUUUAUUUUUUAAAAUUUAAUAAUUAAAAUUAAUUACUCAUUAUAAUAAUAAGAUUUUAAAAAUAAUGAUAAAAAUAAAAAAUAACUCUCUUAAAAUUACUUUUGAAUAACUUGAUCCCCUCAUCUAAUUUAGGUACAUAAAAGGGUUUAGGUUAAACAUGAAAUUGGUGUAUCAAACUAGAAUUGUAUUUUAGAAAUAUUAUCUUAAUUCAGUUAAAGUUGGGAUUGUUUCAUAAACAUAUUUUUGAGUUAAACUUCUAUUCUAUCUUAAGUACUAUACUUAUUUUCGUGCUCUAACAAAAGAAUCUUAUAGCAUAUUAGUUGUCAACGAAGACUAUUAUUGCACUUAGCUGAAAAGACAAAAUCAUGAAUAACAGGGUAGCUUUUAUUAGCUCUUUCGUAGUGCAAUAAAGAAUAGUUUCAACUCUUACGAUGUGCCUCAACCACCACGAUUACUUCAUUAUCAGUAUUUGUUUUAUUUAAUAUUUAAAGGUGAAUCCUCAUUUUUAAAGAAAUAAUAAUACUUUUAAAAUUGUAACUAUAGUUUCUUCUUACCUUAUUAAAUUAAAAUACAAUAGUAAGAAUGAAGAAUCUCUGCUUAAAUUUUCACCUUAAUUAAUUUAUCGCAAUCUCUAUGCUUUGUAUUUCAUUGAUAAGAAUUAAGGAGUUUAUUAGUUAUUACUUUUUUACAAAUUUAUUAGUAUUACUUUUAAGGGUUUUUCUGUUGCCCAUGUAGAGACACAUAUUAAUAACAUUUAUCAUAUUAAUUAGAUAAAAAUCUUUUGGUGUACAAAAAAUAUUUUCACUUUCAUGUAUCAUAAGUAUAAAAUGAUGACAAUUAUUUUUCUCCAACUUUUUUUUAUUUGAGUCUUUGAUAAAGAUGAUAAUGGGAUGAGAUAGAUACAGGUAAUAGUUCUUUCAUACUCAUCCAUACUUAACAAGUAUAUGUAAAGUGAGUACUCGCGAUUUUAUAUAUAUAUUCACGGACACUAACAAAUAUUUGUAGAUACUUGUUAAAAUAAAAUAAAAAUGUUAUGUAAAAAUAAAUAAAUAUUCUUGAGACAUAUAUUUAUAUCAAAAAUAAUUUUAUAACAUAUAUUUAUAUUAAAAACAAAUUAAAAUGUUUUAUUUUAAAUAUACUUAAGAAUAUUUAAAUAGUUCUAAAGCGGGACAUGCUAUUCCAAAUUAAUGACUACAAAACAUAUAUAUCCUAAUUUAACGAGGGUGAGAAAGAAAUAAGUCUCUUAUAUCAUUAGAAUAAUUUUAUAUUAUAUGUUCUUUCAAUAAUAUAAAUGCAAAAUAUUUGAAUAAAUUUCUGGUUGCCUGAGAAAAUUUUUCAUUAAAAACAUUAAAAAUUAAAAAAUUAUGCAACAAUAAGACUUGAUCUAUUUUUUGUUUUAUCAAAAAUGUUUUUUAAUAAAAUUUAAAAAUACUAGUUAAUAAUUAAUGUAAAGUUGCUAUUCUAAGAGUUUUAUCAUCUUCGACGUAAACGCUUUUAACCUUUUUUUUUCCUAUACCUUUAACCUUUUCAAUGAAACGAAAGGCGAAAGCAAAGGUGAAAUGAGAUUUCCGUUGGUAGAAAUCUGUAGUAAAAAAAUAGUAGUAUUUCAUUAAGGAAAAAAAAAAGACCAAUUGCUCAAAAGGAAAAUGGCCCAUUACAAGAGGCAACGGAAAGGCUUAGUAGCUGCCUACUGGGAUUUUUGCCCCUUAAAUACAUUUUUUUUUUUUUAUGGUUGUGUAUGGGAUGAAGAUUCAAAAUUUUAAGAAAUUUAAGAUACAUAAAAAUUUAAUUAUAUUAAUUAAUUUUUUUACAAUAUUUUGUUUAGAGAAAAUGUUUAUUUUUUUGUUUGAAUUUUUUAUUUUAAAAACUACUUUAAUUUCAUAAUUUGUAAAGUUUUCUUUAUGAAUGUUUACUUUUAAAAAUGCUUUAAUAUAAAAUCUAUUUUUGACUGCAAUAAAUGUUUAUUUUAGUAAUUGUUAGUGAUUUACCAUAAAUGUUAGUCAAAACUUAAAAAAUGAAAAGAAAGUAAUUAGUAAAAUAGAAAAAUGUAUUAAAUGGAAUGAUUAAUUAUGCAUUUUUUAGAUAGCGAAUAAAUGCAAAAUAUAUACUUUUUUUUAAAGGUACAAAAUCAUAUACUAAGUACUUAGGAUUUUUAUUUUAACAUAAUUUUACGACUGUGAAAAUGCUGUUUGAUAAAAAAAAGACUGAAAAGAGUAAACAGUGAUAAUUUUUUAUUACUAAUAAAUAUGUAAAUAUAUAUUUUAUUGCUAAAAAAUAUAUUUAUUUAUAAAUAUGAAUUAAGAUUUAAGAGAGGUGUAAGAAAAGAAAAGUGGUGUAGAAAAAAGAGCCAAAGCAAUGUGUAGAAAAGAGUGAGGGAGGGGAGAGAUGUAAUUGAGAAAAAAAAGAAGAAAAAAAGAGAUAUAUGAAAGAUGAGAAAGGGAGAAUAGAGGAAAGAGAGAUGAGAGUAGAUAUUCAUACUAAGACAGAAAAUAAAGAACUUAAUUUGUUUCCGUUUUAAAAGAUAUUUAAAUUAUCUUUAUUUCACUUUAAAAAAAUCUUACAAGAUAUCCACCAUUUUGAAAAAUUGUCUAAUUUUAAUAUUCAAACAAGUCAUUUUACUACAUACUAGUCUCAAAUUCCGUUGAAAAAAUAAACUUUCAUCAAACUACACUACCAGUUAGUCAAACAGCAAAAAAAAAAAAAGUCCACUUUCCAUUUUCUAAAUAGCUAGCCUUAAUUUUUUUUUUAUAUAAAAAAGAAAGAAUUAAUCAAAAAAAAAAGAAAAAAAAAACAAAUAUGACACUCCACAUGCAUAAAAUUAGUUUUUUCCUGUACAGGAGAUCCAGCUCGGAGGCCACGCUACGAAUCAGAGGCAUAUUAAGUUUCAUCUGGACCACUCCAACAUGCGGGCCCGACUCCGAACCUUCCCCUUAAGAAAAAUUAAAAAAUGAUUUUGUGGUUAAAUUUAUGAAAUUAUUUUAUUAUUAAAUUAUAAUAUUCAAUGAUUAGUUUUACAAUAAAUUAAUAUCUAAUUUAAUUAUCUAUUAAAUCAAUUUGUCAUAUUUUUGAUCAUCUAAAUUUUCCAUAUUCCAGAGCAAUGAAUCACUUCCUCACGUUUUCUUUAAAUCUGAAAAUAAAACACCGGUCACCCGCGCGACACACCGGUCUCUCCUUGCACGUGAACGUACGCUACCACUUCCCCUCUGAAAAAAAACACCUUCGAUUCUCUCUCAUUUCUCUUUCUCGCAACAGAGGCUUUGCUAUAAUACGUGACACCCACCACCCACCACCCACCACCCUCCCCUCACGCCACUCACACCACUCUCUCUUGUUUUAGUUUUUAGUAUUUACUUUUUAUUUCCUCAGCACAGCAACACCUCAGUCCCAUGUUGUUUCAUGUUUGUUCCCCCAUGGCGCCAAUUCCCUAACCAACCACGACAUCAAUACCACCACCAAGCACGUUCAGAGCUUUUGGGUUCGAGUCCGAUAUAUGCAGCUGUCUUAAAUACUUGGACUAGAAUUAAACUAGAUUACCUCGGACGACUUGAACCACUAAAAUGAAGUCCGCGCGAGUCAAAGAAGCGAUUCUGUUAGUGUUUAUGUUUACUAUCUUAACCAUUGCAGGUUCGGAUCUAGCUUCGGACAGAGCCGGGUUAUUGUUACUCCGAAGCGCGGUGGGGGGACGCACUUUGUUAUGGAACGCCACCCAAACAAGCCCUUGUUCGUGGACCGGCGUGGUCUGCGCCAGCGGGAGAGUAAUCAUGCUGCGUCUUCCCGCGAUGGGUCUCUCCGGUUCGCUUCCCUCCGGUUUGGGCAACCUCACCGAACUGCAGACGCUCUCUCUCCGGUUCAACGCGCUAACCGGACAAAUCCCCGAUGAUUUCGCUAACCUGAAAGGCUCUCCGUAACCUCUAUCUACAGGGAAACUUCUUCUCCGGCCAAGUCUCCGAUUCGGUGUUCGCGUUGCAGAAUCUCGUGAGGUUGAAUUUAGGUAACAACAAUUUCAGCGGCGAGAUUUCGCCAAAGUUCAAUAGCCUCACUCGUUUGGCCACUCUUAUCUCGAACGCAACAAUUUCACUGGUUCGAUCCCUGACCUCGAUGCUCCGCCGCUCGAUCAGUUUAAUGUGUCGUUUAAUUCGCUAACCGGAUCCAUUCCGAACCGGUUUUCGCGUCUGGACCGAACCGCUUUUCUCGGAAACUCGCUGCUCUGCGGGAAGCCUUUGCAGCUUUGCCCCGGAACUGAGGAGAAGAAGGGUAAACUAUCCGGUGGCGCCAUUGCGGGCAUUGUGAUUGGUUCCGUGGUUGGUGUGUUGUUGAUUCUGUUGCUUUUGUUCUUUUUGUGUAGAAAAAAUAAUAGGAAAAAUGAGAAUGAAACUUUGCCACCUGAGAAGCGUGUUGUGGAAGGUGAAGUGGUGUCUCGUGAGAGUGGCGGGAAUUCAGGUUCGGCAGUGGCGGGUUCGGUGGAGAAGAGUGAGAUUCGGAGUAGUAGUGGUGGUGGUGCCGGAGAUAAUAAGAGUUUGGUGUUUUUUGGGAAUGUGAGUAGAGUGUUUAGUUUGGAUGAGCUGUUGAGGGCUUCAGCUGAAGUUUUAGGGAAAGGCACGUUUGGGACGACUUAUAAGGCGACGAUGGAGAUGGGGGCGAGUGUGGCAGUGAAGAGGUUGAAGGAUGUUACUGCAACAGAGAAGGAAUUCAGGGAGAAGAUUGAGCAAGUGGGGAAGAUGGUUCAUCACAACUUGGUCUCACUAAGGGGCUAUUACUUUAGCAGGGAUGAGAAGCUGGUUGUGUAUGACUACAUGCCUAUGGGAAGCUUAUCUGCUCUCUUACAUGGUAAUUGGUACCCCCAUCUUUCAUGCUUGGUUGUUGUUGUUUUUGGACAAUAGUGUCUUCUCUUUUUUCUCUGUCUUUGUGCUAAUUGCUUUCGUUUCUAAUUCAGGUGAAUGAAUGAUUGUGGUUGUUCUUGUGUCUACUCCAUGUUAUCUCUUUGGGUGACUACUUGUUGUUUUUAUGUUUCUCUAUGCUUUUGUUGUUGUUUCUUGUUCAGUUUUGUAAUGUACUGUCAUGGCCUAGUUUUCAGUUCUGCUAACUGUCUUGUCUAGAGUGUGCCUUCAUUUUAUCACAUUUUCUGCUUGUCGGAUUUUGGUUUACUUUUUCUGAGUUAAAAGGGUUUGGUUUAGUGACAAAAUUGAUGUUUGAUAUUCUAGUUUGGAUAUAUAAUGGACGCCAAUGCAUACUUGCACUAGAUUAUGUCCAAGGGAGAGAGAAUCUUGUAUCAAGAGUGAAGUCUGGUGUCUAAAAAAUAAUCUGAGAAAGCUGAAGUUUUUUGCCUCUUAAUUAGGUCUUCAGCUGAUCCUCAAUGUUCUAAUGGAAAAUUUGUCGUCAGUAAAUGUUUUCUUUCAGGAUUGUACUUUCUAACACUUAAAAAGUUAUUUUGUAGUAAUGUUGACUAUGUAAGGCUCCAGGAUUUAGUGAUUGGUUGUUAAAUUCUUCUUCACUUGUGAAAUGUAGUCUGAGGCUCAAAGGCUCUACUUCUGAUGAAAUGAAAAAUGUAGGCUGCAUUUGGUAAUUUGUAGUUGAAUGAAACUGCAAUGAAUUUGAAUUGGGAUGCAAUUUUUUUUUAAUUUGGAUGCUAUGAAGUCAAGCACCAUGAUCUGACAUUUUAGUCUUAUAUAUGUUUCUGUUUUUGUUGUUAUAGCAAAUGGUGGAGUAGGGAGGACUCCACUGAAUUGGGAAACAAGGUCUGCCAUUGCCCUUGGUGCUGCUCGUGGGAUUGCAUACAUUCAUUCGCAUGGCCCAACAUCCUCCCAUGGAAACAUCAAGUCAUCGAAUAUCCUUCUCACCAAAACUUUUGAAGCUCGUGUCUCUGACUUUGGCCUUGCUUACCUUGCUCUCCCAACCUCUACACCAAACCGUGUGUCUGGUUACCGUGCGCCAGAGGUCACUGAUGCACGCAAGAUAUCCCAAAAGGCCGAUGUCUAUAGCUUUGGUAUCAUGCUUUUGGAGCUGCUUACAGGGAAGGCUCCUACUCAUUCUUCACUAACUGAGGAAGGGGUGGACCUCCCAAGAUGGGUCCAAUCUGUGGUUCAAGAUGAGUGGAACACUGAGGUAUUUGACAUGGAGCUUCUAAGGUACCAAAAUGUUGAGGAGGAAAUGGUCAAGCUUUUGCAGCUUGCCCUUGAAUGUACCGCUCAAUAUCCUGACAAGAGACCUUCAAUGGAUGUGGUGGCAAGCAAGAUUGAGGAAAUUUGUCAUCCUAGUUUAGAGAAAGAGGAAGGGAAGAACCAUGAUUUUAAAGAUGCUGAUAAUGGAUUUUCCCAACAGUACUAUUCUGUUGACUCGGGUGUGUCACAAGCUUGAAUACAGAAUUGAAGAAAGACCCCUUAUAUCAUCAUUAGCCACACCCAAGCUUGAAUAUAGAAUUGAAGAAAUACCUCAUUAUUUCAUCGUUGGCCUGUUUUUGGUAUGCAUAUUACACAAGUGUUGUUUGUUUGUUUGUUUAUUCAUUUGAGGAAUUAUAGAAAACCAGCUGUGUAUGUCCUUUGUCUUACACUCUUACUACCUUUUUUUCUCCUUAGAUUUUGUUAUUCUGAAUCUUUGUUGGGGGUUUCUAUUCCCCACUAUAUUUACUACUUCAGUUUUAGAGGAUUAUUAUGCGUGAAUUUGUGAAUAAUUUGUUUGAAUAUAUCUACAUUGUUUCUCCCUCCUAUUUUUAGUCGGAUUGCGUUGUGUCUAGCAGUGAGGUAAAGUCAUAUAUUCUGGCCUAUAGUUUUUCAAUAACUGUGUGCCUAAGGUGGUGAGGGAUCGAGGUAGCUCUGCAUAAUAAUGUCAAAACACAUUUCUUCCAAUUUGGAGGUUUCAUUGACGCUAAUGCUAAGAAGAAAAGAAUCAGUUUCUGUGAUGAUCCAAAGUUGUUUUUCUUCAAACAAUCUUAACUACUCACCCAUCACAUUAAGAGGUAUAAUUAAAAAUACGAAUCAGCUUUUUUGAAGUGACAGCUAAGGUUCAAACUCGUUAAGAUAAAACUAAAGAGUAUAUCUCUCUAGGUUAUUAUUAGGCAGUCUAUGUUGACAAAACAAAAGUUCAUCGUGAAAUUAUUUUUUAUUCAACUAAUUUUUUGUUUGAAAUACAAAAUACAAGUAAAUUCAAGAAAAGCAGAGCAUGUAAAUAUGUAAGGAUAUAACGAGGACAAUGAAAUUUAAAUGUAGGAUCUCAUAAUUAAAUAACUUAAUGACAUUUGAAAAGGCAUGAAUCACCAUAUACCAAGUUAAAUUUCAAAUCUCAAUUAAAAAUGAUAUAUAUUAUUGCAUUAACAAAUUUAAUUGGUACUGAUAGUGGAGUCCAAUAGAAAGACCUAAUCUCAUAUAACACGAUGAAUUAAAAUUUAAAAUUUGAUUGAAAGAGAUAUUCACAUUUAAUGUUUAAUAGUGUCUCAAAUAAAAUUGUUUCAAAAAGAAAAUGUUUAUGAAAAAAAUUAUUAGGUUAAAAAUAUUUUAAAAUAUAUUUUUAAAGAAGUAUUACUUGCUUUCUUUUAAAAUAUUUUUGAAAGAUUUUGUAUAAUAAUUGGAAAGUUGUUAAAUGUGUUUUAAUUCCUAAAUAUACUAUUAUAUACACCAUCCUGUUUUGGCUGUGUUCUAUUCUUGGGCAACAUCUUUGUAUCUUCAAAUUCUAAGAUAAAUCUUGGCCAAAAGAAAAGAAAAGAAAAAAACAAUUAUAAUACAUCAACACCCGACCUCAGACCAUGAUAGAGAUAGAAUUUUCUGCUCAGUGCUUUCCUUUUAAGGCAUUUGUUCUUGUUCUUGGGAAGUUGACAUAUUCUUUGUUGCACACGUUUUUGAGUGACAAAGAGCAUUUAUGCUUUUAAAUUUUUACCACUGCCAAAAAAAAAAGUGCAUUUAAUUGCAUACGAAAAUGUUUUAUUAUGCUUCUUUUGCUUUUUGAUUCAACUUCAGUUUGUUGAAACUUAGUUGUAAAGAUUCUAAAGAAUUAUGCUUUCCAACUUAUAAUCUAAAAUUAUGCCAUCCGAGAAGAAAAAGAGAAAAAGACAGAUAAAAGUGAAAUCUGGCUUCGCUUCUGAUGCAAUUUUGAUUUGUUGAAACUGAGUUGUUUCAGUUAGUUUGGAAAGUGAUUAUCUGAGUUUAGUGCUAUCAAAUACUUCACCACAUGCUUCUACACAUGUUAUUUUAGUAGAGCAUGACAUAAGAAUUAAGGCUGUAGUGGAGGAGGUUGGGAAUAUAAUGUCAGGAAUUCGAAUUUCAAUACGCAAAAGAAAAAUAAAUUAGGUUAGAUAAAGAUGAAAAAAGUGGGUCAAAAAUUCAUAUGGUAUUUAUCCAAGUAUGCAUGGUUAUAUGUAGCAUUUGAAUUUUUUUUUUAAUCUUAUUUUUCUAUUUAAUAACAUUCACCGUCAGAAGACUAGGUUCCAUCUACAAAAUAUUCAAUUGAAAAUUAAAUUUUUGCUGGAUAAGCUUGAAAUUAUUUUAGGCACGUUGAGUCUCAAUUUCAAAGGGACCGUAAGGUCUGAAGUAGUUAACUGUCAGUCUUGGAAGCAAAUGUCUUACUCCAUGAACUGGACCCUUAAUCCACUACGGCCGAAUAAAUACUUAUAUAAGAAAAAUUAAGAAAAAUAUAAUUCUUAUCAAUAAACUAAAAUUAAUUUAUGUAUAACAGUAUAAGUCGACUUAUACAAGUUAUCUCAAUUUACUUUCUCCACAAGUUUAUUUAGUCAAACCAACUUAUAAAUUAUUAAAUUAACUUGUUAAACACACUAUAUUAUACACUAGACAGAAAACCUAGGUGAUGCACGGAAAUUGUGAAGGGACUAAUUUUUUGUCUGUAAAAAAAAUAUUGAUAAUUUUGUCAAUUUCUUAUAUCUUUUAAAAAAAAUACUAUAAAAAGAAAAGAAAACAAAGAAAUGAGCAUUUCCUGUUUCAUAUUAUGAGCCAAUGGUUAUCUACAAAUGUAGACAAAUAUUUUCUUUUAAUUUUAAUUCAAAUGCUCCAUUCUUUCAAAGAAAAAAAAAAGUUAUAUACCAACAAUGUAAAUUUUUUUACAUAAAUCAUUCAAUUUAUAAUAAUAAUAAUAAUAAUAAUAAUAAUAAUAAUAAUAAUAAUAAGUUUGUUAAAUUUUAAAAUGAUCAUCUUAAAAUAAUUCAAAACAAUAAUUUAUGACUAAAUGAUAUUAUAAAAUAAUUUUAUACACGUCUUUGUACCCUUAGUACAUAAACAUUAAAUUUUUUUUCAAAAAUAAUCUUUUCACGAAGACAUGAUUUCACUAAAAAAAUAUGUAAUAAAAAUAUAUUUCUAUUGUGUAAGAAAUGCAAACCUGUCAUUCCACUAUAUAGUUUUACAAAAUAUCAGAAAUUGAGUUUAAUUGGCUUGAUCUUAAAUGAAACUAGCAUAUAAGUUGAUAAAAUGAUAGUUCGUACUAACUUGAAUGAUAUCCGGUAUAGUACUUUCUAUUUAAGAAUGAUUUUUUUCUAAAACGUGGUCUCAACAGUUUAGCAUAAAAUAUUAUUCACACUCCCAAAGUUAUUCAACACACCUCCCUUUCCUUUUUUAUAUUUGUUAUUUUCUAAAAUGCCCUUUUAUUCAUACCUCUCCCUAAUUAUCCAAGAUGUUGGGAUGGAGGUAUCCUGAUAUAGAUCAGGACUAUGUGACUGAAUUUGGCUAAAAUAUAUGGCACAAAACUCUGCCGAGGAUGGCUUUAUAACUAAUUCUGAUCAUUACAAUACAGACUACAUUCGGGAAAUCUAUUCUAAUACUAAUGAUUGCAAGAAGAGCCAUAGUUUUUUUAUUAGUUUGUUGGCUGCUGCACUGUAUACAAUGCGUUUUUAGAUAAUGGAGGGGUAGGUUUAUUUAAAGCAUGGCUUGGAGGUAUUUUGAAGUAGACAAGGUGGGUAUAAAUAUGGAAUCUGGUUGCUCCGGUUGGCUGGAAUUCGAGAUAAUAAUUUAAAUGUCUUGAUGAAGUUGCUCCGGUUCAUCUUUGCCUUCGUCAUUAGCAACGAGUAGGGGCAGAGAGUUUGGAUAAUUAGAAAAAGUAUAAAUAAAAAGGCAUUUUGGAUAAUAACAAAUAUAAAAAAGGAAAGAAAUAUAAGGUUAGUCUAAUGGUUGAAGAAUGAUGAAGGAAGAAGAGGAAAAGGUUGUGAGUUCAUUUCUUCCAACUAACAUUUCUAAUAAAACUAAUAAAUUAGCAUUUGCUGAGAAAAAAAAGGGAGGUAUGUUAAAUAAUUUAUUGGUAUGAAUAACAUUAGUCUGCGACAUAAUGCAACUGGAUUUUCCAGCCCGAACACAUUUAUUUGGGCCUGGUAAUGAGUCAACAGCGUUUCAUUUCUUGUUUAGGCUAAGGGAGUUACUAUUUGCACUCCCACAUGUGGCUAAUACACUCUCCUUUUGAAAAUUUCCCCCCAAAAUAUCCUGUGCUUUAGAAAUUAAAAUACCACGGUGCUCCUUAUGCCGAUUGCCUACAUGGUUGCUUCUCCUACUACUAUCUUCGACCUCAAUUCCUCUCCAUCACCACUAUCCUCGUUGUCAUACCAAGGACUUCAUCUCUAGUUUUAUAAAGCACCAGUGCAACUUCAUCCCUAAAUCCAAGUACCUAUCAAAAUCUGAUAAAAAUCAUUUUUGUUUUCUUCUGAAAUCUUCUUGUUUCUCCUUAAUCUCCACCAUUGCUCAACACCCUCAUUAACCCAACAAAGAGGAUCAUAGAUCCAACUUAAACCUACAUCAUUAGAUCCAAUAACAAAGAACCCACUCUUGCUACAGUGACGAACAUGUGCUCAAGCCUCAAGGUGGACCUUUCAACAUCAAGAUAAGGGAUACCAUCAAAAGGGCCAAGUAGAGGGGAGUGCAUUAGUUUAUGAAAUAUAGGGUAUUUUGGGAAAAUAAAUUACAAAAGAGAGUGCAUUAGAAAUAAAGGGCAGUGUAAAUAGCAACUCCCUAGGCUAAUUGGUUGGGUUGAGCUUGGAGUCUGGCAUUAGAACCGGGACAAGUUAAGGUGGGAGAAAAAAGAAAAAUAAGCUUAGUCACUUAGUUGGUAAAUGUAAAUCAAUUGUUGAUUCUAAACCUAUUUUAAUGUUUUAUCAUUUAAUAAUCAAUAUCAAUUUGUUUCUAAAGCUAUUUACGCAUAUAAUAUUGUAUAUAAAAACGAAUUAAGGGAGAAGAUAUCACAUAUUUGUCUUCGUAAACAUGAUACGUAUUAAAGAUAGGAACAAUACAAUGACAUGAAAUUGGUGAGCUCAUAGAGAAAAUUUUAGAAAAGGAACUGCAUUUACACUUGACAACGACAAUUGUGGUGUGGCAAUUCCAUGAAGAAAAAAUGUUAGAGACUUGAGGGAUAAUACUAUGGUUCGGAGAAUCUCUGCUUUUGAGACAAUGGGGUCGACUCAACAAUUAAUUUGCACUACAAUAUAAUCCCAUCGUGUUAUUUUCCAAGUCAAGCUUCACUAUAAUAUAAAGUUUUAGCUAGUAAAUACAAUAAAACAAGAUGAUAGGAUGACCUUGUUAUAUCCUCUUGAAGGGAUGGAGAAUAUGAAAUGGGAAAAUAUUUCUUAAUCUUUUCAUGUUGGUUUGUAAGUCAACCUGUACUACAAAAUAUAAAUCUUUAAGUGGUAAAUAGAAUAAAAUGAGCAAUUGAUAGUACAUUUUUUUUCCUGCCACUAUGCAGGAAGUUAUGUAAGGAUGCUCUGUUUUUUUUUUUUUUUUUUUUUUGAAUAAAAAAGGUUAGGAGAUACAUACAAGUAUUGGCAGGGAGGAGUCCUAGACGUAGGCAGCACAAAUAAUCUGUAGCAGCAUGUGCUAUUCCAACUUUAAUGACACAUUUGAUCGGAUAUAGAUACGGAUAUAAAUAUUAUCUUACUUAAAUAAGGAUGAAGAUAAAAAUGAAUAUUAAAACCUUAAUAUAUAAUUUAUUUGAAAAUAUAUAAAUAAAUUUAAAUUAUAAAAAAAUGUAAUCCCAUAUACGCAUGGGCUAUUUCACUCCAUUCUUUAUUUUACGUUUUCUUGGGAAAAUUAAUUGCAAAUAAAUUUCAAUCCAUUUAAUCGAUCAACUCGCUAAAACCCCGUAUUUUUUUAUUUUUUUUUAAGUCAAAUUUUGCUUUGAUUACCCUAGUAAAGAUAUAUCAUGCAUCUGAACUCAAUAAAACUCGACAGAUAUGAGAAUAAAUAUUAAAAUUAUAAAUUCACAUCUUUUAUUUAUAUUUAUAUUGUAGCCGUUCUGUCUUUUAAAAGAAUGAAAACGAGAAGCAUCAUACUCAUCGGCGAUCCUCGGAGUUGCCAUCCCUAUUUGGAUGUGCUUGAAUUGCAUAUUUUCUGUGGACCGCAUCUCCUGCUUAAUCUAAUGCUCUUAUGUUUUAAUAGAUGUCGUUUUGCCUUUCCAAAUAAAUAAAAUGAGUAUGUUUGAUUAUUAUAUAUUUAGAAAAUUAUUUUAUAAAUUAAAACUGAAAAACUGAUUUUCAGAGUGUAGAAGUAGGGGGAGAUGAUAUAAAAAAUGUAUAAAAAAAAGAACAUGAGUAAUAGGAAACUGAAAUAAUUUAAAGAUAUUCUAUUUUUUGUUUGUUUUAAAACUCUAAACGAACGUAUUCAUUUUGAUUUUUUUUUUAAAUCAGAAAAUAGUUUUAAAAAUCAUGAAACAAAGAGGGCCUAAGUAAUAGAAUUAUCUGAUCAUAUUUUUUUGUUAAAAUUAUCUUAUCAUAUUUUAGUAAGAGACAGAGAAAACCAAAGUGAAAGUAAAUAGCAAAAUAUAUUCUCAAUUCUAUCAUAAUAUAAUAUAAAAUUUUAACUGAUAAAUAAAAUAAGAUGAAAACAGUUAUGUUACCAUAUCCUCUUAAUUCAAGAAAUUAUCCUGUAGAUUAAGAUUAAACACAAAAAGUUGUGUUUAUCUUAUGUCCAGCAAAAAAAACACCGUGUUUAUCUUAUCGGUUUAAUUAAGGUGUUUUUAUCAUUUGUAUCUUUGUCCUUAUAGAAGAAGUGAUUUUUUUAAUUUUUAUAGUUUAUAUUAAUUAUCUUUUAGUUUCUGUAGUUUGAAAAUAAUUUUAGUUUUUAUAAUUUGUAUUUUAAUUUUUUUUAGUCUUUAUAAUUUAUAUUUUAAUUCACUUUUAAUCCUUAACAUCAAAAUAUGAGUAAUAUUAUCAAUUCCAAUUAAUUAGAAAAAUAUUAGUAACUAAUUCAUAAUUAAUUUAUCGCAAGAUAAUAUGUAAUAAAAAAAUAAUUGAUAAUUUAUAAAUAAAAAAAUAGUUGAUAAUUUAUAAUUAAUUUGUAGCUAAUUAUUUUUAUAUAAUUUUUUGUAAUAAAAACUAAAAGAUAAUUAAAAUAUAAAUUAUAUAAACUAAAAAAAUCAUUUUUAAAUUAUAGGUACUAAAAAAUAGUUAAAAUAUAAAUUAUAAGGAUUAAAAAGACCACUUUUAAAUUAUAAGGACUAAAAGAAAAUUAAAAUAUAAAUUAUAAAUAAAAAAAACCACACUCAAAUUAUAAAAACUAAAAAUACAAAUAAUGAAAUGAUAAGAAACAAAUAAUUAAUUUAACUUGCUAAAAAUAAAAAUGGGGCGUAACGUAAGAGUGAAAUGAGAUAGAGCAGUAUGUAGAGUACAAGUGGAGAGGUUGAAACAGCGGUUAUAUAAGAAAAACAAGGUACUAGAAAAGACAGAGACAUAUAUAUUAUGUCGUAUUGCCAUCCUAGAUUCCAAUCCUUCCUUCCUUCACAUUCUAUUCUAUUUACCCUUUGUUGGUCCGCGAAGUUUCUUGUUUCCUCCAACAUAUAAUACCUCAUCUUUCUCUUUCAAUUUCUCUCUUCGCUUUUUUUUGAUUCACACACAAUGGGUCUCUGGGAUUCCUUCCUCAAUUGGCUCCGCAGGUAAACCUCUUAUCCACAAUACUACUAUUUGUUCAUUAUAUAUAUAUAUAUAUAUAUAUAUAUAUAUAUAUAUAUAUAUAUAUAUAUAUAUAUAUAUAUUUGUACUUAUUUGGGAUUUAUUAUCUGUGAAAUUUCAUCCUAAAUUUUGGGACAUGCUUUAUUGAUUGAGAUUCAGAAAAGCCUUAAAAGUUGAGCUUAGGUUAAUUGGUUUUAAGGGUUCCUUUUAAGUCAAGCCCUUUAAUGAUUGUGAGUUUCUGUUUGUUGGUUGUGUCAGCUUGUUUUUUAAACAGGAGAUGGAACUUUCACUUGUUGGCCUUCAGAAUGCUGGCAAGACUUCUCUUGUCAAUGCAAUUGCUGUGAGUUGCUGCUGCUGCUGCGUUGCAAUUUUUUACUCAAUUUAGAAACCCUGAAGUUCAGUUCUAGUAUAACUGUUAUUGACAUUGGUAUUUGGUUUUGUUUACCUGCAGACUGGGGGCUACAGUGAGGACAUGAUUCCAACUGUGUGUAUCUAUCUUUGCUUUUUGAUUGCAUCUUGAAUGGUUACAUGUUUGAAGAUUGUGAGCAUGUUUGCCUUUGUAAUUGAAAUAUAAUUCUUGGUGUUAAACCCAGGUUGGUUUCAACAUGAGAAAAGUGACUAAGGGAAAUGUCACAAUAAAGCUUUGGGACCUUGGGGGACAGAGGAGGUUCCGAUCAAUGUGGGAGCGAUACUGUCGGGGUGUCUCUGCUAUCGUGUAUUGUCUCUCUUACUGCUCUCUCUUUCAGCUAUAUAUUCGUGAGUGCAAACAUAUGUAUAUACAUUCACACACACACAUGACACAUGCAUAUCUUUCAUUGUGUUUUUUAAGUUUGGCUUUGAAUCAAAAGUUGCCAAUAAUCUUAGACUAAUAGGAUAUUUCAGUAUAGUGUUUUAAGGAUAAUGAUUUUUACCCCUCAAAAGUUCUCUCAAGAAGCUGGCACAAAAUUGAUUAUUUCUCCAAAAUAAGUUUGAGCCAAACAAAUACUGACUUGUAAUUUUUAGGUUUUAUAUGCUCUUUUUUUUUCUUUUUAACUUUUUAGUUUUUAGACUUCAAACAGGAAAUUGUCUGCAUUGUACAAUUUCAUUGGAGGUUUUUGUAAAUAGAGUUCCAUUUCAUGCCAUUUUACUUAAGAUACCUCAUACUGUUAGAGGGUUUUUUCUGGUUCCUUGGAGAAGUCUAGAAUAAUCAACCAUGUAAAUGAGGGUUUUAUCCUUACCCUAAGUGUGCAUUUGUUUGAAGAAGUAGUAAGUUAUUUUUAGGAAAGUGAACUUGGGAAUAUAAUAUUUUCAUGUUAUAAAUUUUUAAAAAAUUGAGCAUUAUUAAUUCCCUGGCAAGUGACACAUUCCAAGUCCUGUCUUUUUUUUAUUCCUGUGAUGAGGGAUGGCCGGAUGGCUAUGUUGCUUUCCCAUUCCUAAGCUAUCUUGUCAUCCAACCUCUGUGGCACUACCACUCCCCACUUCUACCACAGUCUUUAUCCCAUCAUUUGAAUUUUGCAAAACAUUUCCAAAAAUGUUACAAUGCUAGCCAAACAUUCAUAAGCAUAUUCUUUCAAAACACAAAGGCCUCCUAAGAUCUUUUUAGGAAUUAGGAGAAAAGGAAAAUGUUUGUGAAGCCUACUCUUAUAAUGAUUACCUAUUGCAAUGACUAACCAUCCUUUAAGUUUAUUUAAGCUAUCAAGAAAAUACUUGGGAACAGUUUUUAUUUACAUCAAUAAUAUGUACCCUCAUGCAAAUAGACUUUGGGAUUUAAGUGAGGACAAAUUUUAUUUCACCACUAACAUAUGCUGAAGCAUAAUUUGAUAUAAGAUGGAAGUAUUAAGAAUUGAACACCUGACUUACUCAUGGAAGAGGCUCAUAUGCCAUAUGAUGGUUCAAUCAUCCUUGAAGACACAUGGAUAUUGUCAUUUAUAUUGCAUAGAUCUCUAACAACAUAUAAUACAGGAUACUCACCCCAAAAGCAGUUUUUAUACUGUUGUCUUUUCCUGUUUAUGUUUCAAACACAAAGAAUGGAAAACGUAAUGCUUGGUUGUAUCAAAAUCUAUUGUUUCUGAUGAUCUAAUGGAAUGUUGGUCAUGCAUGCUUCAUCUUGUGGAGUGUUAUUAUAUAUAGCUCUUUCAAAUUAUUGGAAAUGUCCAUUCUCCUUGUUUUUACACUUUUGUUCUUUUCCUUGAUGGAUGCUAAGACAGAUAUGUUGUAGAUGCCGCUGAUAGAGACAGUGUUCCAAUAUCUCGAAGUGAGUUACAUGAUCUAUUGACAAAACCUUCUUUGAGUGCGAUUCCUUUGCUUGUUCUUGGAAACAAAAUUGACAAGUCAGAAGCUCUUUCUAAGCAAGCAUUGGUAGAUCAGCUGUGAGUUCUAGAUAUCAAUAUUGUCUUAUAUCUUUUUUCUUUAAAAAAAAAAAAUUGUCCUGAUGUGUUAUGUAACUAAUUGAACAUUUGGAUUUUCUCCUUGGUUGAUUUCAGAGGACUUGAGUCAAUUAAAGACAGAGAGGUCUGCUGCUAUAUGAUUUCAUGCAAGGAUUCUGUUAACAUAGAUGUAGUCAUUGACUGGCUAAUCAAACACUCAAAAACUGCAAAGUGAUCCUUGGUUUGGCCAGUAUUUCAUUUUUAGUCAAAGAUACAAGGCGUUGAGGAAAUUCCUUCUUGGUAGAAGAAUACAUUUUCAUUAAUUUAGUUGUGGUUCAAGUUUGUUUGUAUAGUAAUCAAACCAGGUCAGAUCACUCAAAUAUUGCAUGCAGUGUUCCUAUGUAUCAUAAACCGAUUAGUUGAUCUCGUACAUUUUAUUUUUUUUGGUUUCUAUUUUUAAUAAAAUACAAGUCCAACAAGUUUAUUUGUCUGAAAAAUUGAAUACUAUUGUGUUCCUUAUAUGGGGAAAAAAGUUAUAUCUUGAUGAAUGCUUCCCAAAUCACCAUUUGAAAAUGUAUCAACACUUGUCUUAGCAUUUGAAAGUAGCAAAGGCAUUGGAUAUUACUUGGCAAUCAAUUUAUUAUAUACAAGAAAGAUGGGCAUUAUUUAGAUUAGCGUGUGAUUUUUUGGUAUUUUUGUUUUUCGUUAUCUAGAAAAUAGCCGUGUUUGUAAGUUGUAACUUGUAACGCUUGUUUUAUAUGAUAAUAUGCAGCAGCAUAACAUGAGAAAUGACCUGUAUCUUUUCGGUUACAACAACAGUAAAAAUGACCAUUAAAUUACUGGAGUUGAAUGAUGAAUCUUUGGAAAUAGAAAACGCACAAAUUUCAUAUUGUGGUGUACAACUAUAGGGUUUUUCUUUCUAAAAUAAUACUAAAAUAAUAUUUAUCAAAAUAAUAAAAAAUAUAAUUACCAGUUUACGUAUAAUUAGAAAACGCCUAAUAAAAAGAUGUCAUUGCUCUUUUACAAGUUUAUAUUUUUGUUUUUCUAAGAAAACUGAAAAUGCCGACUUGUUAGGCGUUAACACCAUCUUUUAUAUUUUUAAAUAAAAAUAAAAAUAUAAUAAAUAUAAGUAAUGAUUAUAAGCAUACUCGUAUAUUAUAAUUUUAGUUAAAAUAUACUUGUAUCCUUCGUCUUAUUUUUAUUUUUUGGUUCUUUAAAAGUACUAAAAGAAUUGAAUUGGAGGAUAUAUAUUACAAGUUAUAACUUCACUAAAUAACUACAAACAAUAUCGGGCAAGUUAAACUUUUUUAACACAUCAUGGUGUAAAGUGAAAAAUCGUUCUUAGAUUGUCUCAUUGGUUAAUUAAGUAUGUGACAUCAUGACAACUUAUUCUUUUAUUUUAUUUUUAUAUUUAUGAUCAAGAAGCCUUAUUGAUAAAUUUGUGAGAUCAGGUCUCGGGUGAUAGGUGAUGGAUAAGGGAUGUCUUCCUUAGAAUAAUAAUUUCAAUAUUUGAACUCUUAAUAUUAUAAGUUUAACUGCUGUAAAAAAAAAUAUUAUAAGUUUAACUUAUAGUUAACUUUUAUUGGUAUUAAUAAAUAGUACAUGAAUUGAUAGUGUAAUAAAAAUUACAUUAUUAUUUAAUUAAAAAUUAUCAUAUAUAUAAUAAGUUUAUUAACUUUUAUAAUGACUCUCAUAAAAUUGAUAUCAAUAAUGAUUUGAAAUUAAUUGACAGUUUAAAAACUUUUUAUGCUCAAGGUACAUGCAUAUUAAUUUUUUAAAGUAUGUGACAAGUUGGAAUGCAAUAAAUAGAAUACAAAUUUUUUUUUUGAAGAAAAUUAAAUUUAUAAUAGCCUGAGUAAAAGAGAGAACUUGAUUUAGAUUUUUGUUAUACUUAGUAAAUUUAAACUGAUGUUUACUUUACAAAUUUUUCCAUAAAGAGCUUUUUCAUAUGGACCGUAUAAUCGCCCAUAACCCAUUAGAUAGAUGACUCCAAACCAAUUUCUCAGAAGGCCCACGACUUCUUGAAAAAAUAAUUUUGUUUUAUCUCAUCUGAAGGUUAAAAAUAUCUAUUCUUUCUAUGUAUUGCUAAUUUGAUUCAAUGGUCAUUAUUAAUUCAAAUAUUUAUUUAUUUUUAUUUGGUGGACUAUGGCUAUUGCCCAGCUGCCUGUGCGUAAUUGUUUUUGUUUGGCCACUAUUAUAAAAAUUAAAUGAUAAAUACAUAUAAGUAUUUUUCACAAAAGGUUUCACUAAACAUGAAAGUCAUGGCUGGGAUUUUUUUGCCAAUUACUUUCUAGCAGCCCUAAAAAUAUCAACUAUUAAUUCCUUUGUGUAGACUUUUGUGAUAAAUCUUUGUCUUUCAACCACUAUUUUUUAUACUAAAACAUGUUAAUUAGCUUAUUUCUUCAAUAGCGUCUGCGUUAUGCUAAAUUAUUAUACUUCCUUCUCAAAACUAUUUUUAAUAGAUGAUGUGUUUGAUUGAAUGCAACGUUUUUGACGCAAGUUUCCCCAAGCAAGAAUUGGAAUUUUCUAUAUAUGCAAUGUAUGAUCGAAAAUCCGUGAAAUAUCUUUGAGAAAACCAAUCAACGGAGAAGAAAAAACAUCACCCUAGGCAGUAUAUAUAUAUAUUUUUUUUCCUGAAAAUUUCAAGUAUACUUUUCCUCGUUGAAAAUUUUGUGGAUUUGAGAGAAGCACCUGUUAACAUUUGAGUUGACCGUGAUGUCAGCAACGUCAAAUUUUAAACUUCUUGAGGUAACAAUUAUGAUGUAAGCGUGAAGUGUCACGAAUAGAGAAAUUAGAUUAAAUUAUAUAGAUAGACGAAAAAAUACACAUAUAAUAUAUUAAUAACUUAAUACUCAAUGAAUAUAAUUCCGUUGACAAUACAUGCACUCUCACAUUGGACUAAAAAUCCUAAUUGGAUUGGUUGAAAAAAAUAUUAACCACCUAAUUACCUAAUAAUUGACCGAAUCACAAUUGAGAUUUUUGAUUUGUACGCUAAGAGCUCUACACGCAUGCACUUGUUUGUCUAAAUGUGUCAAGUACUUUAACAGUGCCGAGAGGAAGUUCAAAAGAGCACGUUGUCCUGUAGUUCUUUCUUUUCUUUCCCUCAUAGUUGUGUACAUAAUUAUUUUCAAUAAAUAUUAAUUGCAUUAGACAUGAUGAUAAAAGUUUCCAAUUAGGCACAACAUAUUUUGAAACCUAGCUAGUUCCAUGAUACUCAAAAUUAUCGCUCGUUAUAGUCAAGAAUUUAUUUAUUUUGUUGGAUGAUUUUGAAAAUCAUUGUUCCCAUGGACUUUGCGACUCUUAUCUAAGAUUUCAAACACUUAUUAACGUAAUAACACAGGCAUCAUUUCCUCACUAUUGUUGUGUAGGACAAUUAUGUCUCUCACUGACAUGUGAAAGGGCAAAAGAGGAUCGGUGGUUGCAUACACCAGCCACACGUUAGAAUGAUCUCAAAAUUUAUAAUAUAAAAUGUUAAUAAAAUGAUUUUAAAAAAUUGUCUAAAGUUCAAAGUCAGUACUACAUGACUUAUUAGGUGGCACUACGCAGGUAAGUCCAAGAUGGGUAGUUGUUGUUAUACGUCAAGGAUUUAUACUCUACUGAGAGAAUUGAAUAAAACAUAGAUCUUACGAAAUCGAAUUAACCCAGAAGCAGUUUUGUCAAGAAACCAGGAUACAUGCAUAGAAAGAGGAUACGUACAAAUCCAAUUUUUAUGCCAUUUUUAUACAAUAUAAAAUGUUUUUAUUCAUCAAUUUUAGUUUAUAUGGAGUUAAAUUUGUACCCUUUUUGUUGUUCAUUUUUAAUACUUCUUAAUUAAGGACUAAAAUUCAUAAAUAAAAAUAAACGAGGGUAUAAAAAUAAAUAAAUAAAUUUUAAUAAUUAAAAUCUGAAACCUGAAAUUGUAUAGAGACAAAACCUGAUUUAACUGAAAAAUUGAAUAAAGCAUAUAUGUUAGGAAAUCCAACUAACCAGCAGCAGUUUGGUCCAGAAACCAGGAUACAGAAACAUAUAGGAUAGGUACAAAUCUAAAUAAAAUAAAAUAACGGUCUUCUUAAUUAGUGUUCUGAUUUUUAUUUUGUUUUUGAAAGAACUAGUGUUCUGAUUUAGAGAUUAACAAUAUAAUUUUUUUAAUUAAAAUUUUCCUUAAGUAUGUACUGAAAGUAUACUGAGAUGCAUUAGUAACACUUUUUAAUGUACUUUUUUAACUAUUUUUUUUACGGUAUAAUGAGAAGUAGUAGUAACUUUAUUUUGUUUCUUUAAUCACAUUGGUUACUCUUUGUCAUUAAAAAAAUAUAGAUACAAAGAUGAUUUAGAUGGAUAAAAACAAGUUAGUGAAUGUCCCCUAAACUUAUUAUACCUACACAAUCUUGCUGUUAAUUAACAACUCAAACUCGGAGAAGAUUUAACUUGGGAACCGGCUGCUAGAAGAAGCAGGACUAAUCGUCAGUUAUUAAAUACAUAGAUUCUUCCAAUUUGGAGACACAACUUGAUUUUUGGGACCUAUGGUAGAGAACUGAAUCGCUAGUGUUUCGUUAAUUAAAGAAUGAUCAUGCAUAAAUUAAAAAUGAUGUAUAUCAUAUCAUUGGAAGGAAACUCAACAAAUAAUAAACAAAAACAGAGUUGUUAAUGGAGUAAGUAAAUGCUAUCGGUUAGAGAAGGUUGAUUUCAACAUUAAAAAUGCUUUUUUUUUUGCCAAAUCGAUCAAUAAAUAGUGAUAAUGUAUGAUCAUGAUAAUCUUCUAGGGAACUAGGGAAUGAACGGUCAAACACAUUAUUAUAAUCAUGUGUCCUAAUGGACCGUAGAUAAAUAUUAAUUAGAAAUUUAGAAUUAUAAACUUCGUUGUUGACAACUAUGAACCUUAUGUGUAUUUUUACUAUUUUGGUAUAACUAUUAAAGAUGUGUUUGUACUUUGUAUAUCAGUUGAAUUAUUGUGUCUUAUUGAUAUCAAGACAAAUUUAACAGGUGAAGUUGAGUGUUGCAUGAUUUAAUUUUGAGAAACAAUUCAAUGACAAUGAUAAUUUCUUGCCGUGCUCAAACGUGAUUUGCUUUGCUCUCUAACGGAUAUUAGGUGCCAUUUGUUUAGGGUUUGAUAAAAUUAAUUUUCGUUGUUGAAUGUGAUUCAGAUCUGAGAUAUAAUUAUGUUUGAGUCGGUCGGUGGAUAGAAUUAUUAUGUAUGGUAAUUUUUUUUGAAUAUUUGAUAUAAUUAUAUAUAUUUAAGAUUCGGAAUUAAGAUUAUUGUUUAAAUUUUAAAAAAAAAUUGUUUAAGAAUUUUGAGGACGAUGUCCCUACACUAUAUAUAAGGAUACAUGUUUAAGAAUUUUUUCCUUCUAGCUAUAAUUUUCCAACUUUCCAAAGUGUAUAGUUUCUGCCCUCCAUUGACCUUUCAUUGCGCAAGCAAUCUUUCAAUAUAAUUUUCUCCAAAUUAAUACGAGUCUCUUCACUAUUUUUUUGGAUAACGUUAUAUAUAUGAACAUGGUACUUCGUUUUCUGAAUCAUUUAUCAAUAUGAAGGAUAUAUUUAAGUAGAAAAAGCAUCACUCUUCUUUCGGGAGUGAAGCAACAAUUUGGAUAAAACAAUCACAGUUGAGUCCAUUCACCAUAUAUACAAUUAAGACGAUGCUAUUAUCAUGACACAAUAGUCAACAGCAAAAAUAGUUUGCAAAUGUCAAAUUCAAAGGUUGCUACUACUCUCUACUGGGUUGUUGCUGUUUCAUUUUCUCCAUCCCCUCAAAAAUAGCCGGCAGAUAUACUUACCUAGGCAAAUUCAUUCAGUCACCAAGACACACAAAUAAUAAUAAUAAUAAUCGCAUAUACCUCUUUGAAAUAUCGAUCGAUCAGCUAUGAACUCAGAAUAAUAUAUAGAGGUUACACACUAAAAGAAAAUAAAUUAAUUAACAAAAUAUGCUGUGAUAUAUAUAUAUAUAUAUAUAUAUAUAUAUAUAUAUAUAUAUAUAUAUAUAUAUAAUUAUAAUUAAACCUGUAUCUUAGUGUUAGCAAUUCUAUUCCAUGGGGGUUGGGGAAUUCAUUAUUCAUGAUAUGACGUGACUACACAGUGAAGAAUGGCAUACUAAAAUACCUUGUCAUUUUAUUAAUCAUCUCUACAGGGAUAUCUUUAUUUUGUAGCUAUUUAUCAUCUCUAUUCAAGUUGCAGUCAGAGAAGCUUAAAAACUCCAUCGAGUAUUAAAAUAUACAGUUGUAUUUUCAGGUAACAAACAUAGGAUUACUGAUGAAGAUUAAUCAGUCUCUAUCAGCUACGUCCUCCUUGGUUUGAUUAUUAUAUCUGAGGUUAGAUUUAAAAAAGUUUAUAGAUAUAAAGGUUACUCAGGUGCAUUUAUUUUCUUUAUACGUAUUUUAAUUUGAACACGUUAUCAAUUCGUCAUGUCCCUGCUAUCUCCCUUAAUUUCAUGUCAAAAAAGAAAAUUUCAAAAAAGUGUAUAAAGUACAGUGUAAUUAGACAAAAUCCCAAAAAUACACCAACAAAAUCUCAAAAACAAAAAGAAAGCAACAAAAUCUUGAUUAAGUGUCACAAUAUUCAUAGGAAAAUGUUUUAGUUAAGAUGGAAUAGAAACUUUUAUUUUAAAAUAUUUAUUAUAUAAAAAGAUAUGUGCUUAAAAAGUAUUUGAUAAAAUAUAUUUAGUGUUCCUUAGUCAUCCACUAGUUUUGCUGGAUACUUGUCCAGAUUUUCUCAAUGUUUUGUCACAAUUGAUGCUGUACGUAGGAGCUGUGUUCCUUCGUCUGUAAUCUUUUUCUUUAAUUUUCAUACGGAUAAAAAAAUACUUACAAUACUUUUUUUUUAUCACUUUUACAAUUUUCAAAAAUAAAAAAGAAUGCAGUAUUUUAUAAUUUUUCAUAAAAAUUAAACAUAAUAACAUUUUCUUAAAUUAUAUACUGUUUGGCUAUUUUUUUUCUCAACGUAAGUAUUAAACUACGAGAGGCUCAUGCUGUAUGACACACCAUCGUUGGGUCGCUCACAAAUCCUAAGUGGCUGUUUCUAUAAUUUUCGUAAUAGAGUGGCAAAAGGUCAAACCUUAUUAUGAAUACGUACAAAUAAUCUUUCAAGACCUUAAUAGAAAAAAAAGAAAGAAAGAAAGAUACAUAUAAAUGUGAUGUGAGGAAGCAUGACUAAGGUUGGUUUUGAUAAGUUCUUUUUCUAAUUACAAGUAAACUUUCAAAAAAAUUGUAAUGAUUGAAAAAGUUUAUUUUAACCCACUAAAAUUAACUUAAUGUGAUAAAGUAGAGAUAUAACAUUGAUCUAAUAAGUGAGAAAGGAUAAAAAAAGGAAAGAAUUUGCAUGUUCAAAUUUCUCUAAUAAAUAAUACUUUUUAAUAAAAUUAUUAAACUAACAAGCUACCAUUUACUGUUUUAAAAAAAUUGUGAUAAAGUGUUUAGGUAAUACAAAGUUUUAAGUUAAAAUUUUAUGGUUGUCAUUGCAUAAAAAAGAAUAACAUUAUUUUAAUGUUGUAUAUAUAUUUUUUUUCAAAAACAUAACCGCCUACUUUAAUUUUAAAACUACAUAUUCUUAUCAUCUUUUUAGAAAAAUUAUCCCAUAUAUAUUAUGAUAUUAUGGAAUUUUUUUAAUUUUGUUAUUAUACAUCUAAAUGAACAAUUUUUAUUUUUGAACCAAAAUAUCCAUUAAUUGAGAGCUAAGAACUAAUCCUUCAAACCAUUAAUCACAUAUUUAAAAGAUAAAAUUACAAUUAUGUUACAAUAAUUUAGUAUCUAAAAGAACAAUUAAUCCUGCACCCUUUUCUUUUGUUGGCAUUGAUGGCCAAUCUUUCUUGUUAUAUGUAUAGGUGUUAGCCCUCCCAUUUGCCGCUUAAAAAAAUAAUAGUUGCAAAUUUUUUGACAAUAUUUUAUUAAAAUUUGGCCUAGGUCUAACAUUUUUUAUUUUCUAGCAAGGGUAUAAUAGAAAUCUAAAUCGGAAUAUUCAAAUUUCAAACUUCUGUUUCAUUGACUUGAUGUUUUUAUCCAUCCAAAAUACUAGUUAAAAACAAAUGAUCAAUUUCCCUGUUUCUGUCCCUCUCUUGUUCUCACUUCUCACCACGUUCACACAUUGGAAGUAGUAGUAGUUAUAGUUAUUAUAAAUUGAAAAAACGUCCGAGAAAAAAAAAGAGAAGAGACUUAUGAUGUGUGUAUCAUUUGCGGUAAUGUCUUACUUUUACUUAAUACUCUUACCAUCCUCAUAGUCAUAGCCAUAGGUUUGAGUUAGUGAGUGGAGUAUCUCACGCUUCCAUCACAAGCAAAGCUGGUGGACGAGGUGGUGCUUUCUGAUUGAGACCCGGCACGUGCCUCAUCCCCAAUGCACACGUGCCCAUUUUAAACACAAAUCCAUAAUAACCGAUAAAACAAGAACAAUACAAGAAAGUAGUAUUAGAGAAAGAAAUAGUAUUGAAUAAUGCACACAAUUUUGUUCAUCAAUAAAUAAAAUAUAAAAUUGUGAUAGUGGGAUUUAGGACUUUUAGCGACUUUGAAGUUUAGAGGGGUUGAUUUCUAUAUAUAAAUAAGUUGGUGGUGGUGCUCUAUCCUAACUUGUGUGCAUAUUCAUUCCUCUUGGCUCCCUUAAACUCUCUUUCUCUCUUUGUGUGUCUCUUUCUCUAUUUCUGAGUCUCAGUGUUAGGGGGGUUAUUCAUUAUUCAUAAUAACUUGGCUUUAUAGCAUUUUCCCUUUUGAUAUAAAAUGGGAAGGCAACCUUGUUGUGACAAAGUUGGGUUGAAGAAGGGGCCAUGGACUGCAGAGGAGGAUAAGAAGCUCAUAAGCUUCAUCCUCACUAAUGGCCAAUGUUGCUGGAGAGCUGUCCCUAAGCUAGCAGGUCUCCUCAAUUUAAUCCUUAAUUUCUAGCCAUUCAAAUCAUUUAUGAAUAAUGAAAUGCCACAGUUUUUCAUGCUUCAUUUGCUAUUUGGUUAUGAAUAUCAUUAAAAUGGUUCAACAAUAUUUUGCAUUAUGGUCAAUUGGUUUUGUGGUCUUUCUUCAUGGUUCCUCUGUUCCGCAGCUCCUUUGAUUUCCAUUCUGUCAAUAACAAUGAAAUCAAGCACCACUCAAAAUUGUCAUACUCUUUUCACCUUUUAGUUAGAACUAAUCUUCAAAACAUGUUACAACAAAAGUUGAGCUUGCAUGUGUUUCUUAUGCCUUUUUAUUUGGAGAAAUCAUAUUUUUUUUCCCUUGGCUUCGUAGAUUGAGUGGAGAAAAUAAUCUUCAUGUUUGUUCGUUUUGUAAUUUUGAAUAAAAAUGCUAGGCAGAAACAAUUACUUCACUAAAAUUAAAUUUAACAAUUGGAGUGUGACUUCAUGCAGGGCUUUUAAGGUGUGGGAAGAGUUGCAGGCUCAGGUGGACAAAUUACUUGAGGCCAGACUUAAAGAGAGGUCUUUUAUCAGAAUACGAAGAAAAAAUGGUCAUUGAUCUUCAUGCUCAACUUGGCAAUAGGUUAUUUCCUAGCCCACUAUUUUCCCUUGUUUGCUUUUUCUGCAUGUAUAUUUUUCCUUGAAGAACAUUACUAAUAAUUAUAAUCAGUGAUUGUUACAGUGCUUAUUUGAAAUACUACUAGACUAGGCUUAUCUCAGGAAAUGAUGAAAAGCUCAAAAGAUAUCUUAAGUAUCACCAAACGCACCAACCUAAUUGAAUUUAUUAUUUUCAUAAUACAUACACCCCAAGUUGUAAUUCUUUAUUCAUCUUAGGGAAAAAGACGUGGUCCCAUGUCUCAAACCUGGUAGGGAAAGGAGGCGUACAUAAAUUGUAGACUAAGCUCUUUUAUUUUCAUAUUAUUUUUCCUUUUUUCGGGAUUAAAAAAAAAACUUCUCAUGAUUGCAGUUAAAAUUGACUAAAAUGGAAUGUCAUUGACGUAGAAAAGUAAAUAUGGGCCAAAUUUGUCUUGUGGGGAUUUUUUUUCUGUUUUCGUAACUUGCAUGGCAUAUGGAGCAUUUUAGUGGCUAUUAAUUCUUCCUUUCAAGUGAUCUCCGCAUAGACCUUAUGUUAAUGAAGGAAUCUUUGUUUCUUUCGCGUGUUUUCUUUUGUAAUCAAUACUGUAUAAUACUAUAUAUUAUUCUACUAAGGCAAAUGUUAACUAAUCCACCAGUUAAAAAAUUUAAAAUAAAAAUAUUUUUAUUAGAAAAUAUAAAAUUCUGCUAUUCAUAAUUUUUUUCAUGUUUUUUUAUGACUUUUAGAUUAAAAUUCGGUUAGUCAUACUCUUUUAUUAAUUAUUGAUAUUUUUUUCUUGUCAUUUUUUUUUUUACUCAGAUGGUCUAAGAUUGCUUCUCAUCUCCCUGGAAGAACUGAUAAUGAGAUAAAAAAUCAUUGGAACACACACAUAAAGAAAAAGCUCAAGAAAAUGGGCAUUGAUCCUGCCACACAUAAACCACUUCCUAAUGCAAAUGAACAAAACCAAAAUCAAACCAGACAAGAUCAACAACUACACCACCAACCAGUAGAAUUAGAAGAGCCUAACCAACAACCUUUGCAAGUUGACUUUGACCCCAAAGUUGACCCAAAUAAGGAGCCAGAGAAGCCAGAGACUUCAUUGGAAUCAUCAACCAUCACUGAAGAAGCCAAAGAGGAAGACCAAAUCAUAACACCCUUAUUUGACACAAUGGAGCUAAUGAAUGGUUUCUGCACAGAUGAAGUUCCAAUAAUUGAACCUCAUGAGAUUCUAAUGCCUUGUGCUCCUUCCUCUUCAUCCACCACCUCUUCAUCAUCUUCUUCAAAUUCAACCAAUUUUCUUGAAGACUUGCAGCUACCAGAUUUUGAAUGGUCUUGUAAUUACAAUGAUAAUAACACUAUUACUAACAAUAACAACAAUGAAGACAAAGACGACGACAACAACAACAAUAGCAGCAUGGCCUUGUGGGAUGAUGACAUUAUUGGCAACCGUUAUUGGCUGAUUAAUGAAGAUGAUGAUAGUGAUGAAAACCAAGUGUUUGAUGCUUCUCUCACUCAAUUCUCAAAAAUGUUCAUGGAAUCAGAAUCUUGGGGAUAUGGCUUAUUUUGAUUUGAAUUUUCUCCCCAUUAUUUGCGAUUUGCUUCUAAGUUUUUACGAAGAAUAAACGGUUAAUAAUUUAUUAGGAAGAACACAACUGUUGUUUAGCAUUACCAACUUUUCACUUUAUCAUUUACACAAAUUACAUGUAAUAUGUUAAUGGAAAUAAUAAGUUUCUUUCUUUGCAGUAAAAGUAAAAGUUUCUCUCUUUUUUUUCUCUGUUUUAUUUUUUUAAUUCAAUAGAUAUACAUUGUUAAUAUAAUAAAUAUUUUUUAUUUUGUUAAUUAAUAACAAAUUAUUUUUCUCUUAUGACUUAUUCUCAUUAUUAUUAUUACUCAUUGUAGUCUUUUUCUUACUAGCGCUUUCUGUUUAUUUCUUUUAUUAUGAAUCGGAUAUGAAAUUUUCUUGCCACUCAUGUUGGUUUGUUGUUCUAUUCGGUCGAAGUCAUUUUUUUACUUUUUCAUUUUUUGGUAUAAUUGUUGAGGUGGUUCUAAUGCUAGUUUCAGAGUCCUUAUCUUUCAAAUAAAUAAAAAGUCCUUAUCUUCAUACAACUAUAAAAUUCAUGUUUAUUUUAUUUUAAGGUUUUGUUAAGCAGACUCCUUUACUUAGAAAUAAUAAUAGAUUAUUUUUAUUAAAAAUCAUGUUAAGAUUUAAGAAUACAGUAAUGCAUAAAUAAUAUAUAUCAAUAUUUUUACCAAUAAAAUUGUUUAGUUUUUUGGUGGAAUAUGGAAUACAAAAAAACAACUAAAAUCCACACGAUAAACCAACAAAGGAAUAAUCAACUAACAAGAAAACAAAGAUAGAAUUUAGGACAACAACAAAAUCUCUUUCUGUAAUAUGUAUGGAUAGAAUGAACUUGGCGAAGGCAUUUGCCACCCAUUAUUGCAAUACUGCAUACUUUGAGUGAUGGAGUUAUGGCAAGACAUUCAAAGCUGACAUCCAUUAAUUGUGGAGGAGAUUUAGAGUCACAAUUUUGAAUUAUAUUUGACAUGAAUAUUUCUAAAAUCACAGCUAAGUCAGGUAAAUCCUCCAAAAAUCUAAGUGGGUUAAAUCACCGAAGGUAGAGGAAUAAACAAUGAUAAAUGUACUCUUACAAGUAACCAUUUAUUAAAAAAAUUCAAAAAAAAAAAAUCCAUAGUUAUAAAAGGAAUAGGACUAAUCAGUAAUAGACAAAAUCGUUCAAAGAAAAUCAUGAUAUGUAGACGUGAACCUAAUUACAAGACUUUCAAUUUAAAAUAUUUUAAUGAAGAAGUUCUUGUGUAGAUACAAUCUACAAAAGAUAUUUAUACUAAAACAAUAAAUGACAUACACACCAUUAUUGUUACUAAUGUAAAUUACAGUAACUUUUAACCACAUAUUUAUGCAACAAUUUAAUUAACGGAAAAUGAUGAUAAAUGCCAUAUAUUUAUGAAAAAUGUUAUAUGAAUACCCAAUGUCCUAUUUGAUCCCGGAUGGAGGAAAAAACAUAUAAGUAUGAUAAAAUUAUGAUGUAAUAAGAAGAAAUGGAUAAAAAUAGAGUGUUUUUUUUAUCAAAUAGAAAGAAAUAAUGAUUUGUGCAUAUCAUUACUCUAUAUUUAUUGACAUAUUCAGUACAACAAUAAUUUUUGCAAGUCUUUCAACUUUCAUCAAGCUCUUGCAUUCACAAGCGUGUUGACAUUUUCCCUUACCCAGUGGUUCCAAAUAUGGGGGUCAAUAUCACUACAACGAAAAGUGACAUUUAGUCAUGCAAUUAAUUACAAGAUGUGAGUCCAAGAAAAGAGAAUUACAAUAUGUGAGAAUAGUCUUCUGAAUUAUACCUAAUCGUGCGCAUCAUUCUCAAUCCAUACCACGUACGCGUCCUUUGCUCAUCGAAUCUACAUAGAAAAAAAUCAACUUACGUUAGGACAAGCACAAUGAGACUUCCUCAAAAUAACUAAUCAUUUAUGUCUUUUAUGCAUAGUCACAAUCGGAAACAAGAUAUAAUAUUAUAAUAAUCAGUUAGAUUCAUCUUUUAUUAUUUUCAAUUAUGAAAAAUUUGUAUAAAAAUGUAGACUAUCUAUUCUCUCUCUCUCUCUCUUUAUAUAUAUAUAUAUAUAUAUAUAUAUAUAUAUAUAUAUAUAUAUAUAUAUAAAAUUAUUUAUACAGUGUUAGUUUACAAACAAAUUAUUUAAUUUUUUUGUACCACACAAUUAUUUUGUUUAAAAUUAUAAACUAAUCUCACGAUUUAUGUAGCAUACAAGAAACAUGUUUCAUGAGAUUUCAUGUAGCUAUACCUCAACACUUGGAAUCAAAUUAGAUAAAUUUCACAAAAAAUACUUUUUUUAAAGGCAAAAUCAGAUUGUUGUUAAUAAAAACUGAUCAAUAACACAAGAAGCGUCUAAAACCAGGGAUAAAUUUCAGCCAAGGAAUACAAUUCCUAUCGGAUUAUUAUAUAUACAAUUCAACACAGGCGGCACAAAAGUCCCUUGGUUACCUAUAAAUUUAGGGUAUAUGUUUGGAUAAAUUUUUCAUAAAUAUUUUUAGCAAAAGAAAAAAGAAAAUGAAAAAAUUUAUUCAUAAACUAAAAUUAGUCAAUACAUGGAUUAAUUUAAUUUGUAGAAAUUUUUUCAUAUAAUUUUCUAUAAAAAAAACUUAUGUAUACAAAUUAAUUUUAACUUGAAGUUCAUUUUUUUCUCUAGAAGUAUUUCUGGAUAUGUUUAUUUAAGUAGACCCUCAAAAGAAAAUAAAAUAGAUCAAAUGCAUAAGUUAUUCAAUUUUUCAACUUUUAUAUUAUCAUUCUCGUCUAACCUUUUCGUAAACAUCAUAAAAUUUAUAGGUCUAGAAAAUUUUAGUACCAACAAAUAGAUCAUACAUUAAGAAAUACUAAAUACCAGCAAUAAUGAAUGAGAAAAAUAAAUUUAUAAAUGUAAGAUGUUCUUCAAUGUAGGAGAAGUCACAAAAACGUUGAGAAAGAUAAUCAUAGAAGAAAAAAAAGGUUAAGUAGCCAUCAAAUUUAGGAACCGAAUUGAAAUUAUUAUUAUUAUUAUCAGUGACUCAUUUAACCAUUAGUCACAUAGAUAAAUCUGUGACCGAACUGAUUUUUUUUUUUUUUUACUUAAAUAACUUUUUAGUCUAUAUAAAACAGGAGGCUACUGAUAUUAUUACUAUUUCUAAAAAAAUGGGGGCGAUGCGUUAAAAUGAUUAGGAACAAAAUCCAUGAAAAAGUGAUAAGUUAGGAUAAAAAAGUGUAAUCAAUCCUUUUAUAUUUUUAAACCAGCAAAUGAAUCGAGAAGAAAAACUAGAGAAAAAUUACUUUGGAAAAAUCUAUGCAGCUUUUUUAAAGAAAUAUUCAAUUUUUCGUGCAGAUUUAAAUAUGCAAGAAAAUUUACAAAAUGUAAAAAAUUUCUAGAAAUUUUUUUGUCAAUAAUCAAUAAUAAAACAUACAGUACACGUCUGUAGCAAAAUUAAUUUACAGGAAACUCGAGCUAAAAAUUUUGCAAAAAAAAAAAAACCAUGAAUCCCUAGUAGUGUAAUUUGUAUAAUUAGUAAUUUGAAAAAUACAUUACUUUAAUGUGAGAUAGAAGAAGAAAAUUCUGUAAAUGAUUAGGUAAGCUUAAUAAGGAUAUUGUCCGAGCAAGUUCAUUAGUUCUUACCGUGUAAAACUUGUCUUAUAGUUUGUGAUUGGUGUGUGAAGCAUUUCCAACGAGGUCAUAAUUAAACUAUUAAGCAGUUGUUAGAUGGUCAAUUCAUAGAUCCCUACGAUUGCACAUUAUUUCCAAUAUCUACAUUCAUUGUAAUCCCUUGGUAGAUCCUAAUUUCAUUCAUACAUUAAAAAGCCAAUAGGAAAUCGUCAUUUUAAGUUCAUAUAUAUAUAUAUAUAUAUAUAUAUAUAUAUAUGUGUGUGUGUGUGUGUGUGUUAAGAAACAGUCAGAUUAUGGACUAAAUAAAUAUUGUAUAUAUAAUUUUUCCGAUAAUAAUUAUUAAAAAAAAGUCUAGGCUUCAUAAUAAAACAAACACGGAGCCCAUUUUUUACGAGUAUGGAGGGAAAUUGUAUAGUAUAUAUGCUUUUAUCUUAACUCGUGACUUGUAAACUUAAUUUAUCUAAAAACAAAUUUGAUAAUAAUUAAAUUAUUAUUGCAAAAGAACAAUUGAAAAAUGUUUAUGUAACUGAUUUUUGAAUAAAAACAUUAAUUUAUUUUUUGGGAGUUUUCCUUUAAUAUUUUUUUUUUUUGAAAAAAUAUAACAUGCUUUGUUUGCAGAAAUUAUGAACUAACGACGAAGCCUCGAACAGCUAUGCUACGAAUAUUUAGCACCGGACCCAUCCUUCUUUAGUUCUGAUUAACUAUCACUCUUACUUUUUUGACAAAAUAACUUUCACUUGAUGGAAUACAUUUGAGCUUAUUAGUCUUGCAGAAUAUUCUUUCAGGCUGAUCAAUAUUAAAUCAAGGAAAAAAUUAUUUUUACUCUCUACUUUUGGCCAGAUGUGAUUAAGGUCGCUACUUGUUCCUCAAACUUUUGAAAACAUGCAAAUUUAGUAUUUUCUGAUUAAAGAAUUUAUCAUGUUAAAGUUAUAAGGAAUUAAAUUAUGUGUUUUGAAAAUUUUAUUGAAAAUCAAAUAAAUAAAUUAAUAUGAAGCGUAUAAAUACCUUGGCAAUGUUUGACUGAAAGUAUAACAACUAAAAAUACAUUUUCUUUAAAUUAAUAUAUUUUUGCAGUAUACAGAUUUUAUAUAAGUGGUUAAAUUGUUAACGAUUAUAUAUAUAUAUAUAUAUAUAUAUAUAUAUAUAUAUAUAUAUAUAUAUAUAUAUAUAUAUAAUUAACGGAGAGAAUUAAUUUACAAGAAUUAAGAUAGAAAAAGGUAAAAAAAAAAAAAAGAGUGAGAAACUAAAAAGGUAAAAUGAUUGAAUCCAAGGUUUAUAUAUGGCUGUUUUUUUUUUGCUAAAGGGAAUUUUUGUAUAGUGUAUACAAGCAAACAAGAAUUCUAGAAACAUCUUUUAUCAUGCAAUUGGCGAAAUAAUUAACUUCCCCGUUGAACAAUAUUAUCCUGCUUAAGGGGUUAGCAACCAACUCAAAGUGAAAAUAAAGUUAGCAAUUUCAUGUAAAAUACAUCAGUGCGUAGUAUAAAACAAAUCUAUUUAAAUUUGGAUUCCCUCGUUUACUUUACUUUAAUAAUUUACAUAUUGAAAAUCAUUAUUUAAAGUUCAGUGCAGAUUAUGAAAAUAAAGUAAUAAAAUUAAAUUAAAUUUAAAUAUUAAUAUCUUAAUUAUGUUAUUUAACUUUUUUUUCCGUAGAAAUUAAACAGGAUGAAAAAGAUUUAUAAUACUUAAACCUCUUUGAGCUAGACCCUUUUAUGUUAUUUUACUUUGUAAUCCCAUUUUCAAUAUGUAUAACAAAUGCGAUGCAUAAAGGCCACGAGCGAGAGUAAUAUAUAGAUGAAAAAGUACCAACAAAUAUGCACAGGUGUAUGUAGUAUAAAGUGAGGGGCAUAAAGUGUUGUAUAAAACAAUAUACAUGUGAAAAGGGCAGACCAUAGGUUUCAUGUCAUCCACAGAAACACGAGCAGAGAUUAGAACAAAUAGAAAAAUAAAGAGGCAUGGGAAUAAAAGCUGUUGAUGGUCCAUGGAUUGGGCAAAGAGGGAGGUAGAUAUGAUUUUUUAAGAAGAAAAAGCGAUUUAGAAGAAGUGAAGUUGGUAGUAAGUGUUUUAUUUUUGUUUUGUUUAAAUUCUCAACAGAGAGGAUAUAAGGAAAUGAAAGAUGCAUGAUUGAUAGUAUUUGGUGAUUUGGUAGGUCACUCCUUUUUUGAACUUAUUUUUAGUAUGAUAUAUUGGAUGGAAUGUGAGAUGAGAGAAAAUAUUAGAUAGUUCAGAAUUAUUAUAAUUUUCUUAAUUUAUAUAUGACACAUAAUUAAUUGAUAAUUAAGUAUAUAUUGUUAAUUGUUUUCAUAAAUAAAAAAUAGAAUUUAAUGACGAUAUAUUUUAUUAUUUGUAUGAUUUUAAGUUAAUUAAAUUAAAAUUUAAUAAAUUUAUUAUCCAUAAUAAAUUAUUAAUUAUGAUUAAAUAAUAAUAUAAAAUUAAUUUACACCAUUAAUAUAUAUAGUCUUUUAUCUCAAAAACUUAAAUAUGUAUUAUAUAGAGAUUAAUCGGGAUAAUGAAUAUUAUGAUUUUAUAUUAGUAUUAUUUUUUUUUAUAAGAAAUAAGUUUCAGUUUUGAUUUUUUUUAUAAAAAACAAAUUUAUGGUAUUUUAUAAGAAAACUUAUUUCUUAACAAAAAAAAAAAAAACAGAAAUCAGUGUGAUGGGAUACACUGGCACAAAAAGUGCAUAACUGAAAUGAGAAAUAAGUAAGAUAUGGGGCGGUGCAGUUUGGUCUCCCAAAACGAAUAGGACGGUAGACCCAAUCACGCAUGGAUUCCAUUGGUGGAUGUAGUGGAAUUUUGGGCCCCAUAUGUGACUCACCAAAAUCCUAAUGCUUCCAAAAGGUUUGAUAAAUAAGGGCCUUAGAACAAAGGUAUACAAUACUCUCUCUCUCUCUCCCAACAUGCUUUUCAUCAUGUUUCAAAUGAAUCAAUCUUCAAAUGAGUGCUUCUUCACAAGUCAAAUUUUUUGUGCUUUAAGGUGUUAAAUUAAGAUUUAUAUUCAUUCAUUUCGUCCAAAUGUUUAUGUCAUUAACCGUUGAUUCAAUUAUUCCUUUCGCCUUUGGGAUAUCCUUACAGCUAAUCAGCUACAAUUAUGGGAUAAUAUGCCAAACCAAAGUGAGAAUUAAGUAAAACUUUCCUUAGGGUGGCAAUUUCAAUAUCUAACCUCUUCAUAUUCCAAGUAAAAGUUUCAUGGUAUUAUAAAUAUUAAUUGUAUUUCUACCACGAUGGACCGAUGUUUACUAUAUAUUGUUGAGAUAAAUCUUUAAUGAGAUCAACUCAACACCAUGCAUGACAUCAUGAGGUCAAUAGUUUCAUAAUAGUUCUCUCUUCUUCUUUUUAUCAGCAAACAAAAGGAACUAUUAUUUCACCACAAUAGUCUCUUAUUCUUAAAAACCACCGUAAUAAGAAGGACAAACAGUUACACGCGUGAUCCAGUACUGUUAAAGCAUCUCACACUAUAAAUGACUUCACCCUUGUAAUAACAUUCCCUUGUUUGCAUCUAUCAUACAUAUUAUUAUGUUGUCAUUCACUAAUUUGAGAGUUGAAGUGCUUUUUAUAAUACUCACCCCAUCUCUCAAAGGAGUCUUGAAACUUGAGGAAAAAGAGGAUUAUCAACCCUAUUGGAGUCUAUAAACUAACCACACAGAAUUUAGUUAAUAUUUGUAUAUAAGUUCAUCUCAUAAGUAUCAAUGUUAAUUUAAGUAGUGAAAUUAAAUUAUGGGUAAAAAGUUUUGAAUUCAACUUUCGUUAAUAUUUUUAUUAAUUAGAUUGCCAUCUGUUAGUUACUCGUUAUAAGCUCUAAUUAUGGUUCGAGACAAUGUCCUAAUUUUAGCAUUGAAUAACAUCUCGCCCUUAUACUUUAAUAUUUACUAGCUAAUCGAGGGAUUAAGUUUAAAAGAAUAAUUAGUAUAUAAGAUGAUUUUAAUUUGAUUAAAAAAAGAUGAUUUUCAUUAAAACAUGCCAGACGUGUCAUGUUCUAAAUUAUUUUAAUCGAACAUUUUCGUCAUUUAUUAUAUUUUAUUGACAAACAAGUAUUUUUUUUAUAAAAUUAAAAGCUCAAAUUAGUAUUUAUAAAAAUUUAUUCCUUAAAUUAGUUUUUAUAGAGAUUAUUAAACAGUCAAAUAAUGCUUUACUCAAAGGAAAAUGAAAUUCGCUAAAAAGAACUAGAAUAUAUGUAUCUGGUGCAUUUCUUUUCUUCACUUUCAUGCAUGACCCUUUUUUUGUUUUCUUUCAAUCUCUAUCUCUGUUUAGAUUUGGUUAGUGGAUGUUAAUUAAUUUACACAUGGCAUAUGAAUUCCCUAAUGCUUUGGUCAUUCAUACAUAUGCUAGCUAGCUUGAAAACCUAUUUGCUAGAAUGACUUCUACAACCUAAUAAUAGUGACUUCAGCAACGCACUAGCUUGACGCAAUAAUACUAGCCCUAUAUAAUUAAUUUAGAAUAAUAGAUUGACAUCCUGGUACCUUCCUUUUUCUAACUAAUUGUGGAACAUUAUGAUUAUGCUGUUUUCUCAAAAUUGGCAUGUUCUGAAAUGGUGAGAUGACUGUGUUUCGAAUAAAAUUAUUCUUUGAAAAAUGACUUGUAAAAAAACGAAAGAAAGAAUUAGUGUCACAUUACACUGAAAUCCCUCGGUCCACACCCCUUACCAAAUGGUGGAAUAAUUUCUGGUUCAGUCUUCGGAUAUGACUGCUUGCCAACGCAACAGAAACUUAAAAGAGAUACCAACAAUUUAGAGAAGGCACUGCUUUUAUGAAACCGACCAGCUGAAGAAAUAAAAAGAGAGAAUAUCAUUAUUUUUCAUCACCAACUUUCAAUUAUAUAUAUAUAUAUACAUAUAUAUAUAUAUAUAUAUAUAUAUAUAUAUAUAUAUAUAUGAUACAUCCUAUAACUUUAAGUAAUGAUGGGUAUUCAGAAGCCUAUUAGGUAUUCUAUUUUUUUAUGGAUGUGUCACGACGUAUCCUUUCUUAAUUUUCAUACAAACCUUAUUUUUUCAUAUGUACUAUUGCAAUGCAGCAACAUUACAAUAUGAGAACCACAUAUUAUGUUUUGGAGAAAAAGGUGUGAUGUAGACACAAACACUUUGUCCCAGACAUUUAUACUUGGCUUUGCAUUUUGGUCUUUCAUAUGAUCGAUUAUAGGUGCUAUUUAAGCUUGCUUUCAAUGAAUUUUCAAAUAUUCUAGCAUUCUGAAUGAGUUGGCAGAAGCAGUGUCUUUCCGGACCUCUUGGUUGUUUUCUAGUCAAAUAGGGUACCGAAGCAUUGAUUUAAGUAAUUUUAACUACUCUAUUUUACUAGUUUAUGUUAUGUUCCAUUUCAAAUGAAAUUCUACGGGGCGUGGUGGAAUAGUAAUUUAUUGAAUAUAACAUUAGGUAGAGUGCUAUUAAAAAUAACCAAACCCCCAAACACUCUCGAGUUUNNNNNNNNNNNNNNNNNNNNNNNNNNNNNNNNNNNNNNNNNNNNNNNNNNNNNNNNNNNNNNNNNNNNNNNNNNNNNNNNNNNNNNNNNNNNNNNNNNNNNNNNNNNNNNNNNNNNNNNNNNNNNNNNNNNNNNNNNNNNNNNNNNNNNNNNNNNNNNNNNNNNNNNNNNNNNNNNNNNNNNNNNNNNNNNNNNNNNNNNNNNNNNNNNNNNNNNNNNNNNNNNNNNNNNNNNNNNNNNNNNNNNNNNNNNNNNNNNNNNNNNNNNNNNNNNNNNNNNNNNNNNNNNNNNNNNNNNNNNNNNNNNNNNNNNNNNNNNNNNNNNNNNNNNNNNNNNNNNNNNNNNNNNNNNNNNNNNNNNNNNNNNNNNNNNNNNNNNNNNNNNNNNNNNNNNNNNNNNNNNNNNNNNNNNNNNNNNNNNNNNNNNNNNNNNNNNNNNNNNNNNNNNNNNNNNNNNNNNNNNNNNNNNNNNNNNNNNNNNNNNNNNNNNNNNNNNNNNNNNNNNNNNNNNNNNNNNNNNNNNNNNNNNNNNNNNNNNNNNNNNNNNNNNNNNNNNNNNNNNNNNNNNNNNNNNNNNNNNNNNNNNNNNNNNNNNNNNNNNNNNNNNNNNNNNNNNNNNNNNNNNNNNNNNNNNNNNNNNNNNNNNNNNNNNNNNNNNNNNNNNNNNNNNNNNNNNNNNNNNNNNNNNNNNNNNNNNNNNNNNNNNNNNNNNNNNNNNNNNNNNNNNNNNNNNNNNNNNNNNNNNNNNNNNNNNNNNNNNNNNNNNNNNNNNNNNNNNNNNNNNNNNNNNNNNNNNNNNNNNNNNNNNNNNNNNNNNNUAUCGAUUAUGACAUAUAAAUAGAUACAUAUUACAUAUAUAUAUAUAUAUAUAUAUAUAUAUAUAUAUAUAUAUAUAUAUAUAUAUAGAUUAAAUUAUAUUGAUGUAACUUUGAUAAUUAUUACAUUAUUUUAUAAGUUUCAAUUGAAUAAUAUUUUCUUAAAACUCAUCGUUGGAUUGAAAGUUUCUUUCACAUAGAUCAUAUGUAUAAAUUUUCAUAUUAAUUCAAAAUCAUUUGUUACCUUAUUCAUAUAGAUUAAAAUCAACAUAAUAUAAACAUUUCAAAAUAUAUUAAAAUAUGAAUUAUUUAAUUACAUUUUUGUUGUUGUUUAAUUAUGACAAAAUUUGACAUAAACGAUAUUGAUAAUAUAUAGAUAUAUUCAACAGUUGAAUCAAUAAAAAUCAUAUUUUAUAUCAAGUUAUAAAAAUUAUGUAAUAUGUUAUAGUUAUAGCGGUGUAAUUUAAUCUCUCUUCUCUCUAUUUAUAAGAAUUUUAUAUUUUAAUUAUAUUUCUUUUUUGUUACUAAAUACAAUGUUUUUAUUUUUUCAAAACAGUGAAUAAAAGAAAAUAUAAUUUCUCUUUACAAGCAAUUUUAUUUUAGAAGGUAAUGAAUAUUUUUCCUUUUGCUUUAUUAUUAUUUUCUUUGCUCCCAAAUAAGACAUGUUCUUUUAAGAAAUAUAUAAAGUGCUUUAAGAACCACCGAUUGUCCUAUAUUAUAAUAGUCAUUGGAUAUGAUUAUGUAAAAUUUAAAAAGUAUUAAAAUAAUUUGCAUAUUCAUCAUAGUCAAUAAAAACCAAUCGAUGGUCUAAAAUUUAGGUGGAUUAUCCUUUAAAAAUCCAUCUUUUCAAUAGCUUGGUAAAAUGAAGCAACUGAAAGUACCUACUUAAGUGGACCCAAUAAUAAUGAUAAAAGAAAGUACCAAACUAAUGAAAUAAUGUAACGAACCUAGUACAAAGUUCCAGUGUCUUUGUUCAUUUUUGUUCCCAUAGGAAAGUGGGGUCUUCUGUUGGUUAUAACUCAAAGGGUAGGGACCUGAAAGCCCAAAUGAAAAAAAAACCCGUGUAAUAUUAUUAUAAAUUUUUCUACACUAUCAACCAUAGAUGUAAAACUUGGUUCAUUCUGGUUCAAUUGGAGUCUAGUGGUAUAACUAGAUUGAUUUUAUUAUUAGAUUGUUUAUGUAUGUGAUUCGGGAUGAUCCGAUCAAACUUAGUCAAUUUUAUGAAAAUUCAACGACCUGACCGAUCUUUAAAACACGAGUUCGAUUGUGUACAUUAAAAAAAAUUGUCACGUUUGAGAACAACGUCGUUUUGAAUCAACCCUAAAAUCUUAGUCACUUCUCUUCUUCACGCUCAUCUGCUUAAGACUCUCGACCCUUCUCUUCAUCUAAAUGCUUGUCUCGACCACCACCGCACUACAAGCCGUCGCCGUCGCCGUCGCCGCACUACAAGGGAACUCGUCGUGCCAACCUCGUCGCCAGUAAUGCGAAUGAAGAGGUCAACGACCUAGGAGGGGUCAAACUUUGACGACAUUGUGAAGCGGUGAUGAUCGAAGAGGAAGAGGAGUGGUUUUGAAGCGAGAAACAGAGAAAAUGAGGCGCAACAUGAAGAGAGGGUUAUAUAUAUAUAUAUGGAGGAUUAGGAUUUUUGGUUAUUUGAAAGCUUCUAUUGGGCCUAAUCCGCCCGGAUUCACUUAUUAAGAUGUUGCUUCUUGUACUCCUUUUAUUGCUACCCGCACUUUUCAUUUUGCAUUUCAUAAUGGUCUUUUCCAUUAUAUAUUGGGAAGUGCAGAAAACAAUAAUGGGGGUGCAGAAAGUUUAUCCACACUUUUUUGUUUAUUGGAAAACUGGACUUCUUGGCUCAUUGUGUUUAUUGGAAAUUGGACUUUGUUUUAAUUUAGGUAGUUGCUAUUUACACUCUUUUAUUACUAAUACACUUCACUUGUGUUAUCAACUUUAAUACUUUAAUUAUUAUUUUAAAUUUUGGAAUAUAGAAUUAUGAAUGAAUUUUUCUUAAUCAAAUAAUAUUAGUUAUAUAGUUAUAUAUAAUAGAUACAUAUAUAACUUUAAAUUUUUUAAUAUAAAUCGGGUCAAAUCGAACUAAGUACUAAUCCACCGGUUGAACCACUGACCAACUAUUUUAAUCGGAUCAAUGACUAAAAUGGGUUUCACUAUGCUAUUAACUAGUUAAAAUGAUCUUAAAUGAAAACUUUAAAGUAACUAUUACAAAACUUAAUAAUCUUAUCAUAUUUGUGACAAUCUAUUCUAUUUACUACUAGAUAAGGGAGUAAUAAAUAUUAUUAGUGUGUUUCAAUUAAAUUAAAAAUCAAACAUCCUGUAACUGAGCAUGAUUUUUUUAAUAAUAUUAAUCUGUGAAUAAGUGAAAAAAUUUAUUUCCUUUUAAGUGAGUUUUUUUUUUGUAAUAUUUGUCUAAAAUUAUUAAUUUUCUUAUGAUAAUUUACUGUAAAUAUAUUAUUUUUAAGAAAUUUACAUAAAAUUAAAUAUACUUCAUAACUUUGUCAAAUGGGCAUUUAGGUAAGAAUAUAAGAAUUACCUCUAACUUAAAACGCCAUUCAAAAUGAAUUUUGUUUCCCAUUCAUUAAAAAAACUCUGGUAAAUAGCUCUUCCAAACCAUUCAAAAUAAAUUUUUCAAGAUGGAUUGCUUUUGACUGUACAGCAAAGUGGAGCCUCAUCAAUGCCAUCCGUAAUCUUCUUCGAAGGGAUUGGACUUGGAGGACUAGAAUCAUCCCAUUGAAACAUCAAUUUUAAGACUCAAACUAUUAAAAUUAUAGAUAAAAUUCUUACGAUCCUUGUUAGAUAUUCUAGAAAUAUUUUUCCAGAAUAUUUAAUAAAAAUAAUUCUCGAAAUGAUGCCUCAAUUGGUAAAAAGUGAUCAAAUAGGAGAAAAAUGAAACUAAAUAUUAUGUUGUUUUGGGCCAUCUCAACUCAAAGCACUACAUCAAGUCAAAUUGUAAAAGUGUUGACCAGGGUCAACUUCCCAUGUAGGUGCAAGAUUUUUAAAAUACAUUUAUGAACAAUGAAUUCUACAUCGGUCCAAAGUAAAAUUACUUGAUCUCUACAUGCCAAAGAGCAAAACCAACAUCAAGACACCUCUAUUUACUUGAAGUACACUUCAUAAAUUCAAUCCAAAUUUCAAACAAAGUCAAGCAUCCUACCUUGAAUACAUCAUUUAUCAAAUGCUCUAAAAUUGAUGUCUCAGUUUUCAUAAAUCACUGCAUCAUCCAUCAAUUCUAGUUAAAAUUAAGAAAACUUAAUAGGCCAAUUAAACCGAUUAAAUCAAGAACCAAUCCAUGUCAGUUUAACUUAACAGUUUAAAAGGAACCUAACAAAGUUAAGUCAAACACUAUAAUCCCAAAUGCAAUUUUGGUAUUCAAACAAUGAAAAUUGAAUCUAAUGCAAAUAAUAAACCAAACUUGACUUCUGAGAAAAACGAGAUCAACAUAAAGAAAUGAAAACAAAAGUUAAUCACUUUUUUAAUGCUAUAACAUGGUUAUGUAUCUACUUUGAAGGCAGAAUUUGUCGUUUGCCUGAAUAUUAAAAUCUGAACUCCUUUACAGUGGUAAAGCAUGGUUUGAAGCAUAACUAUUUGAAGCUCCACCAUGCAUUCCUGAAAAGGAUGUAUUGUAGCUCGGAACAAAUGUUGAAAGUUUUCAUGUUGAACUACUUUAUAAUUGCAUGGUCAUGGUCUCAAAGAAUGUUACCAAUAAAUAUACAAGGUAUACAUAUGGAAACAUUUUCUGCACAAGCUAACCUCUAAUCAGACAUGGGACUACUACAGCUUAUGUUACUGUCAGGGCUUUGAGAACACAUGUAUUCUGCAACUUUUCUGGGGACGGUAGGCAUCACUAUGGUUCCACCAUUAUAACCAUCCUCCAGCAACUUCCCUAUUUUAGAUCGCCACUCUGAAGAAUUGUCCUCAUUUUUUGCUGUCAUGCACAACUCUGUCACAGUAGUUAAGCAUAGUUGCCAGGCCAGUAUUUGGUGUCCAACCAUAUUCCAUUAGCACCUUGGCUUCACCUUACCUCAAAUCUUCUCCAACCUUGGCAUCAAGCAUAGUUCCGCCACUAGAGGGUGCGUGUGAUGUGAUUAUGGGAACAAAACAACUCUUUCACGUUUCUCUUUUUUUAAUUAUUGGCAUUUUUUUAUUAAUACAACUUUGCUGCUUUCUUUUUUUUUGGGGGGAGGGGAUGUUCUGGUAUUUCUAUUUGGCUUCUUUUUGUAUGCCAUCUAUUAUGAGAAACACUUAAUUUUGUGAAGCAUUGAAGUUUUUCCUCUUUUAAUUGCUGAACUUUGAAAAUUAUACUCUUAAGUUGCUGGAUUCUCCCACAUUUCAAGAUAAGUAAAGAGGACUCUAGGAGAGUUGCGUGAGGGUUCUGUUACUAAUGGAGCAUAUAGGAUGAUAGUGAUCUUGAUGAAUGUUUCUGGUUGUGCAUGGUUGAGCAGUAAUAAACUUUACUCUAUAUGCAAAUAUGAACUGUAUAAGUGGUUUAAGAUGUUAGCAAGAAAGAAUUGAAAAGGGUAUACUCUUAUUGCUGAAGUAUAUCUGGCAAUCCAUGAAUUCAAAUUUUUCUAUUAAAAAUUUAGAACUUUUCAACAAAUUUAGGAUAUAUCUGAUAAGUGUGUUUUGUGUGUGUUGGAGCGAGGUUAUGCAACUGCUAAUGCCACUUGAGAAAUGUAUAAACUCACUUGAGAAAUGAAAGGAACAUAUUUUAACCAUAUAAUUAUUAAACUAAGUAAAUAAAAACAAUUUUAAUUAUCUGGCGUGGAAGUUCAUUGUUUAUUGCUUAUUGUAUAGUAUAGUGGUAAUUGCUUGUUUGAUUGUAUCUGUUGAUAACUGCAGUUGGAAAGAGGUUCCAAAUAGUGAUGAUUAUGUAUUAUUUUAAAAAGCUGCGAUCGAGUUUGGUAAUAAUCCAUUAUAUAUGGAUAUCAAUCAGUAGCAAAAUAAAAUUUUGGAGGAAUGAAUAAUAGAUGUACUUCUAAUGAUUGAAAUUAGGAGUGUAGUUAGUUUUAUUUUGAAGGAAUGAAUAAUACAUUUAAUGUUUGGGUUACAUACAUUUAAGACUUUUUGAAUCUUGUCUGGAAUAUUUAAAAUUUGUUUUCAAUAUUUAAAACUUAUGUUAAUUGUUUGUUAUUGAUAAUUAUAUUUUUGAUGUUGUGACCGGUAUCAUAAUUAUUACUUUGAUUUAUAUUAUGAUUAUUGUUUAUAUAUAAAUUUUUAAUAGGCAGAGGAUAAAUUUUUAACCCCGUCAUUUUUUAAGGGUGGGAGUAGGAGUUGUUAUGAGAUUCAAGGCAGAGUAAGCAAAAAUCGCCCCUAACCAUCUCAUUGUCAACCCUACUUGCUCCCUUCCCCCCACUAAUGUCUCUUUUAGAUCAAAUUGAUCAUUUUAUUAAUUUUUAACACCAACAAUAUCAAUAUUAAUUACGCAAAUUAAUAAAAGUAACAAUUUGAUUCAACAAAGAUAAAUAUUUAUUAGUAAUUUUUUAAUUAAUACUUUAUUAUAUAUAACUAUGAUUUUCAUAUGAUGCACAAAUUUAUCAUUAUAACUAUGUAAAAGAAUCUUUAUAAUUUAUAUAUUAUUAUAUUGUUAUAAAACUUUCAUCUUUGUUUAAUUAAUAUUUAGCCUUGUUAGCAAUUCUACUCAGUUAAAUAAUUAUAUCUUUAAUAUAAAUAUUUUUAUCCUAAUUGAUAUCCCCUAAAUACUCAAUUAAUAAUUGACUUUAAUUUUUUCAAAUAAGACCCCUAAUUUCAGGAUUGUAAAUUUUUUUCUUCAUUUGCGUGACUCAAAAUUGCACAAAUGACAACAACCAUCAUAUCAUAGAAUUAUUUUUGUUAUUGCAAUGUAAGGGAAUUGAGUUUGGUCCUUAAAAAUUAAUAUACGUAAAUUUGGGUAUCAUAAUUAUUUUGAUUGAAAUUAAUUAAUAUUCUAGUUGAAUAUUUAAAUAAUCUGAGGAAUUUUUUUCUUUAAGUUUAUAGUAUCAAAUUAUAUCAUUUAAUUAAUUAAUUAAUUAAUUAAUUGAUAUUAAAUUUGAAUUCAAAAUAUAUUUUACAUAACAUAUAUUGUCCCAUGCAAUACAUGUUUUUACAUAUUUUUAAAUACUUGUAGAUUUUUUUUUAUUACUUGGAGAUUUUUUCAUAUUUUAUAUAUUAUAAAUUAUAAAUAUUUAAUAUAACUUUUUUACCAUAAUUACCGCAAGUAUUAAAAAAAAUUAUUACUAUAAUAUUAAAUACAAUUAUUUAAUUUUUAUUUUCAGAAUAAUCAAAUAACAAAAACUUUAAGCAAUUAAUCACUAUUAUUUUCUAAUUUAUUUUAAUUAAACUAAUUAAUUAUUUAUAAUUACCUUAAUUGUGUAAAAGUGAAAACAUCAUAUUAGUUGCGGACAAACAGAUUUCAUUUUUAAUUAAAAUAUCUUAUGUUUUGUUAAUUAAGUUGUUGCUAAAUAAGAUUUUGUAUUGAUAAUCUAAUCAAAGACUUUUUGUUCUUAAAUUAUUUAUUUAUUUUUGAAUAUUUUUCUUUUUACUCAUAUUUUAGAUAGGAAAAUGUUAUCUUUAAGAGAAUUUUAAUGUUUUUAGUUUUUCUCCAACUUUUAGCCCAAUUAAAAGCAAUCUACACAACUGAUUAGAAAAUAUUAAAAUGAGAAACUGAUAAAAAAAAAAAGUGUUUGUAAUGUGUGUGUUUCUAAUAUUUAAAGAAGACAUUAUAGACUUAAUUCAAAGUUAUUCUCCCAAUAGUUAUUAUGAAUUGAGAUCAUAUAAUAUAUAGUAUCCAAAUCAUAGACCAUCAAUCAAACCAAAAACUAUGAAACUCAUUACACAUUAAAGCAUGGGUUCUCGUAUAGUCUUUACAUUUUAUUUUUUAUUUUUUGUUAUCUUUUUGAGGGUGUUGGAGUGUUCCUCCCUUUUCGUAAUUGCUUCUAGUCUUUUCUAAAAACACCACAAACAUUACAAACUAUACAACCUAAUUUGGUGUAGAUAAUGAUAUCAUGUUUCACACAAAUAAUAUGUACACAUUUCCACUACAAUUUAUAGAUUUUUGAUAGACUUGUGUUUGCGUGGAUGAUAAAUUAUUUUAACGCAUUUAUUCUUACUCAUCAAAUACCUAUAUUAUAUUUAUAACUGGUGAUAUUACUAGGUCUUUAGUUAUGUUAAACACGGUCUUUUAUAUAUAUUUUUGGUAUUCUAAUACUGGGAUUUUACAUUAAUAUCUGAUGCUAUUACUAGGAUUUUAAUUUUGUAUCAGUAUUAUAUUUAGUUGACAAAAUAGUAAACAUGAAUGGUAUUCUAAUACUAACACUACAAUGUAAAUAAAAUUAAAAUAAAAAAUAUUAAUUAAAAUAUAAGAGUUGAUUGAAAUAUAUCAUAUGAAUAUGGUUAGAAUAAGGUAUUAAUUAAAGUAACCAUACCCAUGUCUAUAUCCACAAAAAAUUAUGACCAGUUAUUAAUUUAUACUUAGACCAAAAAAUAGAUUUUAGUUUACAUCCUUUUUUAAAAAAAUUAUGCUGUUAAUUAAAUAAAGUUAUUUUGGAUAUAAUUUUUAAUAUAAUUAUUGUAAAAAUUAAUAAUUUUAUAGUAUAUAAUAACUCGUGAUUAGAUCACGAUGUAAAAUAUUAUUUAUUAUUUAUUACGAGUAAUUUUCAUAAGUAACUAGCCAACAAAUUUAGGCACAUAGAAUAAAUGGUUAGAUUGGAAAAAGUGUUACUCCCAGGUGCCAACUGGGUGUACUCGUUGUUUUUGACCCAAAAUUCAAUUAUUUCUAAUGUUCUUUGUUUCAGUUGGGUCCCCACAAGCCUAUUAAACCGGGCUAAGUUAUAUUGGGUUUGACCCAAUAAAGCGUGUGAAUGGUUCUGUAUUAAUAAUUGUUGACCCAGCCAUUCAAUUUUUCAACUAUUUACCAUUAUUAGUUUCGCUUACAAGUUAGAGUAAGUUUUUUUUUUUUUUAAAUCUCAAUGAGGUAAACUCAAAUUUUUUUUAAUUCCAUAUGCACCUUACAUCACUAAGACAAUUCUUUAGAUUGGUAAACUCUUAAAUGUGAAGCACAAAACUAUUUUUCCCAAAAUAUUAAGUGCUUGUUUGAAUUAAUUAUAACUAUGCAUUUUAACUUAUACAAUUGCAAUGUAUAAAUAAUUCAUGAUAAAAAAAUAUAAUGUAUAAAUAUUUUAAUGUUUAAAAAAAUUCAAGUAUAAAAUAUGUUAAACUUUAAAAUUUAAAGGAAAUUAUUUAAAAGAUAAGGAUAAUUUUCAAUUAUUAAUUAAUUUUUAUUAUAAUUUAAACUAAAAUAAAAAGAGUCACGUGAAUAGUAUUAUAUAAGAGUAAAUUUAAAAUUUUGUGAUGCUAAGAAAAUAUUUCUUUAAUAAAUAAAAAUGACAAAUUAAUACUACUAUUUGACAAAUUAGUUUUUCUUAUGGGAAUUUGACAAAUUAGUUAAUCACUCACAAACUCAAAUAACAUCAACAAUAAUCUAUUUUUGUUGAGAAAACGUUUAUGUUAAACAAUUUCAGUUUAAAAUAAUAUUUAUAAUAUAUGUAUAAAUAUUUUGGUACACACAUUUUUUAUCGUAUGUUAUCCUUAUAACUGCUCUCAUAAAUAUUUUUUUCUUCCUUUAAUUACACUAUUCAAACAACAUAUACUAAUAGUUACAUUAAUUAUGAAAACUACCACUAUUUAUUAAUUAACUUUCAUUAUUGUUACUCUAAAAAAAAAGACUUUCAUUAUUGUUCCCUUUUCUUUUCUUUUUUUUAAAUUAUAGAGGAGAACUGAAUGCAUUUUCUCUGCUAGUAUAAAAAAAGUAAAGAAACAUUUAAGGAACACCCAGCAUAAUAAAAAUUGGGAUGGAUAAAAAGAGUUACUGAUCAAAAUUUAAAACAUUGUAGCGUAUCCAAUAAAUAAUGGCGUGUUAUGGCGUAUCUAAUAAUAACAGCAUGGACAAUAGCAUUUACAAGGUGGCCCAAUUGUUGGUUGGUACGAAUCCCGUAAGAAGUGUUGGAUUGGACCGUUGAUAGAUGAUAAACAUUAUUAAUUUUAUUUAUGAUUAAUUUUAAUGAGAUUUUUUAUUUAUAGGAAUUAAAAUUAAAAUUUUACUUAAAAAAAUUAAAUUCAGUACUACUCUAUAUUAACUUGUAGGUCCAUUGCUAGUAUUGUUACUGUUACAUGCUAGUGCCUAGUGAGAGAGAAAGUCCUUUUGGUGUCUUCAGAGAUCAGAGAUGCAUGCAACCAUUCCUUGUUUGUUUCCUUCUUUUUAAAAACCACAAAACAUGUGUAUACAGAUUCCAGGUUUAAGGAGUGCAAACAAACAGAGCGUCAGACACAGACACAGCUAUUACUACAACACAACAAAAAACACUUAUACUGAGAAAAUAAAUCACCGUACGUUAACGGCUAGGAGAACAGGUGCAUGUCUUCCUCCUCCACAUGCACAUUAAACACACUAAUCAUUAUAAAGUAGUAUUUGUAUACCAACUUACACUCAUAAUUCAUUCUUAAUUUGCUAUUCCAACUCCUUUUUUUUUAUCAUAACUUGAGAUGAGAGUACACUAAAAAAAAGAAAAGAGGUGAGAAUAUUUAAUUAUAAUUAAUAAAAAGGCAUACCCAACGACUAACGUGCAUAUGUAUGUUUACAUAUUUUUAUUUUUAAUAAGAUGUUGAAUUUGAUAUAUUUGUCAGUUUUUUUUUUUUUUUUUUUACAUAUAUACUAAUGUGUAUGCUAUAAUUUUGGUUUGUUAAUUUAAUUUUUAACUUAUUAAAACCGAAUAUGAGAAAGAUAAAAUGAGAGAAGUGGGUGAUAUCUUUAAAGAAAUAAUUAAAGGAUAAAAUUAUUUAAUAUAAUGUGUACGCAUAAAAAAGUUGUCUUUAUUAUUGAUAUAGAUCAUUAGAUUAAAAUUAGAAUUUUAAAUUAAUUAUUUAACUAUAAAUAUUUAUUAAUAAAUAUGUGAUUUAAAAUCUUAAUUUUAAUUAAAUGACUAAAAAAUUAAUUUUUCUAACAACAAUUAAGAAUAUAUGCUCUCUUUUUCUCCUUUUUUUAGUACACAUUUUUCCUUUUUUUUGUGUGUGUACACCUUUUCCUCUCUCUAUUUAUCCUAGUUUGAGUUAAAUACAUCAAACAUUCGGUGCGAUUAACUCUUUCGUUUAAACGUUUUUAUAUGUAAGGUUUAAAUUUGAAGCCUUAUUAAAUAUUAUUAUUAAUGAACUCAUUAAUAGUAUAGUUUAAACUAUUCAAACUAUACGAGUUUUUGGCAUUGCUUGAUCUAACUGUUAAAGCAAGCUCGAUUCUUUUAAAAAAUAUUCGAGUCUUACAUAACCCGAAGUUUAUUUAAGUACCUCACGUAAUCUUUACAACUACAUUUUCACAUUAUAAAAUGAAGAUACGAAUAACUAAACAAAUAAAACAUUAAAAGGAGAAAAAGGUGCUUCUUAAUCUCAACUCAAGUCUUGUUAAUGUUUCCUGGGUUUUGGGCUAAUUCUUUAGCUUGGGUAUCGUUUGGUAGGGUGAAAAACAUAAAAAGAAAAUAAGAUGCAAUCAAAAUUUUGAAUUAAAAUAUGAAUUUUAUUUUAUUUUAUUACUUUUUUUUCUCUUUAUGCAAACUAUUGGAGAAACUUACCACUUGUCAAUAGUUGUAUAAUAUUUACACAAUGUAAUGAUUUAUUAGCGUGGGAUUGAAUAAACGUUGAUAAAAUUAAUUUUAAAAUAAUAUAAUUUAUAUUUAGAUAUUUUAUUAUAAAAUUAAAUGAAAAAUAAAAUUUAUUAUAAAUUUUUGAAUUCAAUGUAAAAAUAACUCAAAAUUCCUUGACAGAAUAGUUUUGGCAAGCCAAAGACACACUUACCCGUUUAAUUUGUCUGACAAGCUUUCCACGUGUGAUUUCUGUCUUGAUCUUGUAGCCCCCUCUCUCAAACACAACACAGUCAUAUAUUCUCUCCUACAACUUUACCCCACUUUCUCUGCUUUUCAAUUUUACUCCUUCUUCCGGUUUUCAUUUUCAUUUUCUUCACAUUCCUCCUUUCUCUCUCUUUCAUUAUUGAGAGAGAGUUCUUCUCUCCAGACUUCUCAAUCCUAUGGCUCUGCAUUUUCUUCUCCUCCUGCUUUUUGCAGUGUCUUUUGUUGCUGCUGAUGAAGGUUAGUGACUUGACACUUUUACCCCUCUCCCCCCUUUUUGUUUUCUUUGCUAACUCUCCUGUUAUGAGAUCCUGUGUUUUCCACUAUUUUGAGUUAUGCUUGCAUUCUGAAUCUUUCAUUGCCCUUUAUUUUGUUUUCUCUACUUAGUUUGGCAUUGUUUUAGAAUCACUGCAAAACUCACUUUUGUUUAACCUGCAUGGUUCUUCUUGAGCCUUUACUUGUUCAGUUCUCAGUUCUCCUAUGACUCCUUGCUGUUUUCUUGAGGAGUUUUUGGAGUUUGCUUUGUGGGGAAUAGAACUUAACCAUGCUUUGUCAUAUCAAGGUCCAAAUACACUCUUCCCAUUUUCACACCUUUCCUAGCAGUAGCACACCCUUGCUGUGGAUUAGGAACUUAGAAUGUUAUUUGAGAUUUAAUUAGUGUUAAAAUGUUCAGAACCAAGGUUUGAUGGGGUCAUGCAAUAGCUGAGAUAUAAUUGGUUAUUUUGUUAGUCUGUUUCCUAGUAGAGUUUGUGUGUUUUUCCUUUGCAUUUUUAUCCUGUAUGGGAUUGAACUUCUGGCUAAUAAUUAAUAAACAUAUGUUUUUAAAAAUAGUCAGGGUUUUGUUGGUUGUUGAUCUUCUUGGAUGCGGUCCUCCUGUAGGAUUCAGAUUUUUGUAAAUUGAAUAGGACGUUUCUUUUGUCCUUCUAGUAAGUCACGUAUUGUCAUUUUCCCCAACAUUUGGAUGUGUGUAAUACUUUGUAGUAGAGGUUGGGGAAGUUAUUUUUGGAAAAGCUUUCUACUUUUGGGGAGCUAUUCUAUUGUCAUUUUCCCUCAAAACUUGGUUUGUUUGGAACAAACAUAAUGUGCGUAAGAGUCUGCUUGCAUAUGUUUCCCAGUUACAACUGGACUUGGUUAAUUCAGUGAGGACUUAAAUCUAAUUUUUGAUGGAUCUUAAUGUUUGUACCUUGCAGAACCAUUUAUAGGAGUGAAUAUUGGAACAGAUCUCUCUGAUAUGCCACACCCUACUCAAGUAGUAGCUCUACUUAAAGCCCAACAAAUUCGUCAUGUUCGUUUGUAUGAUGCAGACCAAGCUAUGCUCCUUGCACUUGCAAAGACAGGCAUUCAGGUUGUUGUGACUGUCCCAAAUGAAGAGAUCCUGGCAAUUGGUCAAUCGAAUUCCACGGCUGCCAAUUGGGUUUCCCGCAACGUGGUAGCACAUUAUCCAGCCACCAAUAUCACAGCCAUUUGUGUUGGUUCUGAGGUUUUAACUACCCUCCCGAAUGCGGCAAAAGUACUUGUCAGUGCGAUUAAAUACAUCCAUUCAGCCCUUGUGGCAUCCAAUCUUGAUCGCCAAGUUAAAGUUUCAACACCCCUUUCCUCAUCCAUCAUUCUUGAUUCAUUUCCACCUUCUCAGGCUUUCUUUAACCGCUCACUCAAUCCAGUUUUAGUCCCACUACUUGAUUUCUUGCAAUCCACUGGCUCUUAUCUGAUGCUAAACAUAUACCCUUACUAUGACUACAUGCAAUCAAAUGGAGUGAUUCCAUUAGAUUAUGCACUUUUCAAAUCUCUCCCUCCAAACAAAGAAGCUGUUGAUUCCAAUACCCUCCUCCACUACACCAAUGUCUUUGAUGCCAUGGUUGAUGCUGCAUACUUUGCCAUAGCUUUUCUAAAUUACACCAACAUUCCUGUUGUGGUGACUGAGUCAGGGUGGCCCUCAAAAGGUGGCUCCAACGAACCUGAUGCAACGGUGGACAAUGCAAAUACUUACAACAGCAAUUUGAUCAAACAUGUGUUUAACAAAACCGGAACUCCCAAACAUCCUGGAAUUGCUGUUAGUACUUACAUCUAUGAGCUCUACAACGAGGAUAUGAAGCCUGGGCCAUUGUCAGAGAAGAACUGGGGACUGUUUGAUGCAAAUGGAACACCUAUUUACAUUCUACACUUGACAGAGUCAGGGGCAGUCUUAGCAAAUGAUACCAGCAACAAUACUUUCUGCAUUGCAAAGGACGGUGCUGACCCGAAGAUGCUGCAGGCUGCACUAGAUUGGGCAUGUGGACCGGGCAAGGUCGAAUGCUCUCCAUUGCUGCAGGGGCAACCAUGCUAUGAACCGGACAAUGUGAUUGCACAUGCAAAUUAUGCAUUUGACACUUACUAUCAUAAGAUGGGAAAGACUCCUGAUGCAUGUGACUUCAAUGGAGUGGCUACUAUCUCCACCUCAGAUCCAAGUAAAUUAUUGUUCCCUAAUGCUAUGCUGGAUUAGCUUUAGCAUUUUUAUAUUUCUGUCAAUUUCUAUCUGCAAUCACUUCUAGGAUAAUUAACACAUUUUUUGAAUGAUUGUAUAGGUCAUGGUUCUUGUUUAUUUCCUGGAAGGUAAGAUAAGAUAUUUGCUUCUUUGGUUCAUUUUCAUUCUUUUCAUUAUCAUCCUAUGUUUGUUGUGUUGUUAACUUGUUAUUGCUCAAAAGUGAUGUCUUUGUGAAUAUGUGCAGUGUUGGCAAAAAUGGAACCUUAGGUAACUUCACAGCUCCAUCCAUGAAUUCUACAAAUUCAGAUUCCUCAGCCUACAAAUUCAGCUCUGACUUGAGAAUUAGAAGCCUUUUAAUGGUAGCAGGAUUUCUAUUAUGGGGAGUGGUUUUGCUAUAAAGUGGUAUAUGUCAGAUCGUGUUACUUUGAAAAAUUUUGUGGUGGAUGAUAAUGCUACUACUACAUAUUCGUCUUGGUAGCAUUGUGUUGUUCAUAGUGGUCCAUUCAAUUUUGUACAAAAACCAGCCAAGGGUUUGGACCGAAUGAGGCCGCAACUGAAUCAUCAUCAUCAUUAUUAUUCUUUUCAACUAGAAUUGAUUCAAUCUUUAUCAACCAUUGACUAUUUUUUAUUGGGUUAGUUAUAAUCUUGUGCUAUAUAAAUAUAUAUUGCACCCCCUCCCUCCCCCAAAAAAGGAAAAAAGAAGACUAUACUCAUUAUACAAAUCCACAGGGCUAUUAUUACAAAUUUGUCUAUGUAACUUUGUUUGAUUCAACUUGAAAGAGAAUAUAAAUUAGUAAGCCCAUCAUUAACCGAAAAACGUCUGAAAAUGUCAUGGGUUCUUGAGGUUAUAUUCAUUUGUUAACACGGGGCUUGUUUUUCUAUUACUGAAUUAGUCCAAGUGUCUAAUAUAGACAAAUUGCCGUUUCUGGUAUGUAUAUCUAUUGCUAAUUAGUUAGAUCAAUCGUAAUCUGGUAUGUUUCUAUUGUAUAAAUUGCUAGGCCUAUAGGAAUUAGGAAUACUCAGUUUAGAAUUUUAAUUUUAACCUUAUAUUCAAUUUUUUAAAAUGCAAAUGCUUUUUAAUUUCGUGUCUUUUUCGAGUUUUUCUUGUUAAUAAAAGUAUUUUUUUUAUUCAAAACAUCUUAUAUACAAAUAACGUAAAAGAAUAAACUAUAAAGGAAUGUCACGGUUAUAUAUAUAUAUACAUUGUAUCCAGUCUCAAUAGUUAUUAAAGGAAAUAAGAGCAUUUAGUUUUAAUCAUUGAAUUAAUUGCUCAGAUUGCAUUUUUUAUUAUAAAUAUCAUGCAAUUUGAAUUAAAAAAUCGUGUGAAGUUUAUAAAUUAGCAUGCAUUUUGAAGUGUUAAUUUUAAUCAAAUGAUUGUAAUUAAAUUCAUUUAUUUAUCAUAGUCAAAAGUUUUCACCUUAUUGUCACUUUAUAGAUAGAGAUAGAGGUGGAUUAUUGUUUCCCAAAAAUGUUUUAAUAUUUUUGAAAAAUCAUAUGAACUUUGUUUUUUUAUAUGUAAAUAAAAAUGAUCAAAUAGUUCAAGAACCGUAGAUUAAUUUAACCUUUGAAAAAUGAGUUGGAAGCAUUAACUCACUUUUUUGGGGAUAGACGGGCAAAAUGAUAUAAGUUAAUCUGUAUUAAUUUGAAGAAAAAACAGUAAUUGAAAUUUGAAAAACUAACUAAAAUUUUUAAAAAACUAAUUAAUAGCUAAUAGUUGUUAGGUUAAUUUUUUGUUACAAUAUUUUUUUUUUGUCAAAAAGAAGAGUUUAAGCUUGAUCUUGUUUUGAUUAUAGUUGUCGUGUGGAAAAAAAAUCAGUUAAGUAUAUAAAGCAAAUAAAAUUGGUUUGCACUACUCUUUUUUUUUUUAUGAAAAUUUGUUUGCACUACUUUUUGAUUGUUAUCUCCCUCCACAGGACAACUCUAUGCAUAUAAAUUAUUCAGUUUUAUACUUUAUUUUAUUUUUUAAUUAUAUAUACAUUUUAACAUUUUUUUUUAAAAUCCCGACUUAACACACGACAACUCUUGCAUUUUUGGCAUCGUGCAUAGGUGCUCGGUGCUCCCGUUUUUCGGCUUAAACGGCGGUACAGCCGAACAGUUACAGUGGCAAAUUGGUAAUUUCCAAAUCCCAAAACCCUAGCUCAAUCGGGGAUAUAUAAAUCAACUACGAGCCUCAUCCUCCCACAAGUUUCUCUGUUUUUUUUUUUUUUUUUUCAGUUCUGAUCAUUUUUCUUAACCUUAGAUGGAUAUCACUUCUCCAAUUUUUUCUGUUUUCAAUAAGCGAUUUUUUGUUGAAAGUGACGUGCAUCUACUAUGAUUCUCUUUUGCUCUAACAGUGGAAUAGAGAAUACGAAAAGAUGCAAAAUCAACAGGUUCCUCUAUGGACUGGCAUAGUCCCAAUUCUCAAUGGAUUUUUGCUAUUUCUCGUAGGUUCCACAAUUUCUAACCUUUUAACCAAUUUUCGCUUUCCCCCCUUUCUGGGUUUUGGUUUUCAUUCCCCAAAAUUAAGGAAUCCAUUGCAAGCAUCUUACUUUUACUUUUGCUUUUUAAUUUUUUUUAGUCUUCUGGGUUCUGAUUAUUUUUCCAUAAAAUUAACAAAUUCAUUACAAAGUUUGCAUUUUUUUUUGUUUGAAUCGAAUUGGAACCGUUCUAUGUUUUAUUGUUUUUCAGAUCUCACUUCUGGGUUCUUUUAUUUUUCCUUAAAGUUAACGAAUCCAUUACAAAGUUUGCAUUCUUUUUUGUUUGAAUUGAAAUAGAACCAUUUUAUGUUUAUUGUUUUUCUGAUCUCUCAUCUGGGUUCUGAUUAUUUUUCCUUAAAGUUAACGAAUUCAUUACAAGGUUUGCAUUUUUUGUUGUUUGAAUUGAAUUGGAACAGUUUUAUGUUUUUUUUAUUGUUUUUCUGAUCUCUACUCUAUGUAUAUGAAUGCUCGAUGAUUUUUUUGCUUUAACCACACCGAAUAGGGGCUGGACGAGGUUAUGGGUUCCCUUUUUCUUUAAGUGAUCUUUUUGUACUUGGUUUUGCCUCGUGAUUUCAUCUUCUAGCUGAAGAGGUAUUUAGUUACCUCUCCUUUUAGACAUUGGGAGAGGGCAUUUUCCAGCACUUGAAGUCUCGGCUUAAAUUGUAGGGGUCUUUACUCGUCUCAAGUUUUCUCAUGUGGAAAAAACUGGCCUUUCAACUGAGAGCAAUUCAUUACUGUAACUCUUCGAUGUUUUUGAAAAAUUGUUUUUAAUUCGCUUGUCAUUCUUGAUUGUUGAUUUGUCUCAUGGUGAUUGUUAUGGAUCUAUGGAAAGGAAGAUUGAAUUGGAUUGAUUAGGUCUUCUGCAGGUCCCAGAAGACUGCAGGGGGGGUGUUCUA
rnacentral:lncRNA from 1 species